UGUUUUUUUUGUAGUGAAGGCUAUUGAACCAAUAGGAGAACCAAGCAAAUUCCUAGUAAGCAGUACCUGCACACACAAGAGUAAAUACUUGCACCCAACAUGGGCAAGAGGGUUGUCAAUCCCCUUGAACUCGUUACUUGCAAGGACUAAAUCUGAUAAUGAUAGAAAGAUAAAUUGAAAAGUAAAUAAAUUGCAGCAAGGUAUUUUUGCUUUUAGUAAUAUGAAUAAAGUAGACCCGGGGGGCAUAGUAUUUACUAGAGGCUUCUCUAUAGGAACAUAGCAUGUGGUAGGUAGACAAAUUACUAUUAGGCAAUUGAUAGAAAAGCGCAUAAUUAUGACGAUAUUCAUGGCAAUGAUCAUGUAUAUAGGCAUCAUGUCUGUGACAAGUAGACUGACUCUUGCCUACAUCUACUACUAUUACUCCACCAAUCGAUCGACUCCUGCCUGCAUCUAUGGUAUUAAGUUCAUAACAAACAUAGUAACGCUUUAAGCAAGAUGACAUGAUGGAAACAGAAUAAAACCAAACAAUAUGAUUAAACCCCAACGUUUUACCCUUAAUGGCAACAAUACAAAUACAUGCCUUGCUACCUCUGCUAUCACUGGGUUAGGACACCGCAAGAUUGAACCCACUACAAAGCACCACUUCAACUGAAGGCUAAAACAAACAUAUAGAUCGAAGAGAAAUACAAAGCUAUAACAAUCAUGCAUAAUAACGUCCAUCAAAGGUCCAUCACUUUCAAUCAACAUUCCAAAUCGUAAACCCACAAUUCAUCAGAACCCAACAAACACACCGCAAAAAGAUUACAUCGAAUCGAUCUCCGAAGAGAAUAUUGUAUUGAAGAUCAGAGCUACUAGCUAUGGACCCAUAGGUCUGUGGUGAACUACUCACAAAUCAUCAAAAGGACGGCAAUGUUGAUGUAGAAGCCCUCCAUGAUCGAUUCCCCCUCCGACAAAGUACUGGAAAAGGCCUCCAGUUGAUACCGCAAAAGAACAAAAGCUUGCAGCGGCAAAAAAAUUGUUUCAGGUGGCUCUCUGUUGCUUUUGGGAUUUCCAGGAAUUUAUAGAAGUGGAAUUAUGUCAAAUGGAGCUGUGUGGGGCCCACAAGGUCAGGUGGCGCCUGUCGUGGUACUAAGUCUGACAGUAAGAAUAGGGGGUAUGUAUGAGGAGGCCAGGUCCUAGCUAUGGCGAGAUUGUACACAAGAGUUUACGAGUUCAGGCCCCUCUCGAAGGAGGUAAAAGCCCUACGUCUCGGUGCCCUGAGGCGGUCGACUGGAAUAUGGGAGUGUGUGUUACAGGGGGUGCGAACCCUUGUCCCAGAGGAGGGGUGGCUUAUAUAGAGUAAGCCAAGACCCCAGCUCCCCUCCGUUACAGGGGUUCAAUAUACAUAAAGAUAGGGCGUUACUGAUAACGCCAGCUAUAAAGUGUAUUUAAUGACCUUUAAGACUACAGAGUGAACGCCUGACCGUUGUCGUCCUAAGUGACUCCUGGUCUUCUGUAGGUCGAGUGGUUUCUCGUAUAGUCGAAUGGCUUCGUCUUGGUUGAGUGAUACUAGGAGGGAGGGGUACCCGAGUGAUAUGACUGGUCGAGUGGAUUGCACUCGACGACUUCAAUUGGUACCCUCUGUUGUCCCUUGAAUGUCUUUGCUUCUAGGGUAGUGACCUUGGGUAGGGCAUAUAGGUCAGGCCUAUGACCCUACCCUAGUUCUAUGUCCUCAUCAUUAGCCCCCGAAUGGAUUGAGGUCCGAGUAAAAAGAAGGUUGAAGUUAGUCUUGCCUUGACUCUUGUGCUUCACAAGUACCCAUGCUGAAUUGGAGGCCCAUGUUGGAACUUCCGCUUUGUUUCAGUCGCCUUUGAUCGAUUCAGAAGUUGCCGAGUGGAUUUAUAUGGCACUCAUUGAGUGCUACUUUAGUGCGAAAUCUUGGACGCGUUUAGUUGCUGCGUAUCCCGGAUCUCACGGGAUUCAAAAUUUUGGGAAGCGCGCAAGGCGGAGCGUGCCACAGUAAGCAGGACGGAUAGACAGGGGCACCUUGAUUUCCGCACCACCUUUUUCGCCACGUACCCGACGCGCGACUGUUGCAGGAUUUGACAGGAUUGCUCGGGCCCACACAUCAGCCACUCGAAAGCGGGUCCUUAAAAGGUGUCGGGGCCGAGGCGUCUGCGCUGUGUGCAUCCAUUCUCCCUCUUUUGUCUCUGCUUCUCCACUACAUCUUUUUCCUCCACCCUCGGCGCCGCCGCCCCGCCACCAUGGUGAAGGACAAGACAGCGGCGCAGGAGCACGUGAAGAAGGCGGCGGGGGCAGCGAAAGGCAAGAAGACGAGUCGGGGGUCGUUAUUGAGGUCCGCGCUGCCGCUGGGCUGGAUCCAGGGCGAUUGGAUCUGAUCUUCGCUCCGGCCAGAGGAUUUGGAGGAGUUGGCUGACUCCAUUUUGAUCUGUACCGGGGCCGUGAGGCUGCUAGAGAGGGAGACGGAGCCUCAGCCGCGGUCGGGUGAGUGCGUCCUCCUUGCUACCCACGUCGACCGUGGCUUUUCCCUUCCUCCCCAUCCUUUUUUCCGGGGCUUCUUGAACUUUUUCGGUGCUCAGCUCCACCACCUCACUCCCAACACCAUCACGUACCUCGCCGCGUUUGUAUCCAUGUGUGAGAAUUUCUUGGGUUGUCGACCGCACUAGGGUCUUUUCAAACACAUCUUCUCAAUUCGCUCUCAGACCAUGAAGAAAGCAAAUUCAAGUGACGAGAGGACGCACGUUAUCCAGAUGUGUGGGGGUUUAGGGAUCCAGAUGAGGAAGAGGAGUGCUUUCCCUCCCAUGACACUUCCCGAGUCAGUCAGGGGCUCGCAGACGACCUGGUUCUACUGCGAGGAUAUUGCGACCCCCGGUCAAUCGACUGGUCUUCCCCCUUUUUCCUUAGAUUGUGCCCAGCAACCUUCUUCACUGAAAGUGACUACUGUGGAGAGGGUGGUCCAGUUGGUCCGUCAGGGUGUAACUGGCAUGGAUCUGCCGGAGGUGUUUCUCAGUCGACGCAUCUAGCCGCUCCAAGCUCGUGACCACUCGAUGUGGAUGUAUCGGGAGCCAACGACACCGCUCGGGUCCACCCAUAGGAGGUUACGGAUGAGAUGGUGGCCCUGUGGCUGAAGGGCAUUAUAGGAAACAAGGACAACCCCAAGAGAAGCAGGAGAGUCGAUCCAUUCGACAACAACAACUAGCCAGACAGGGUUUGAUCUUCGCUUCCAAGUGUACUUCAAUUUGUCUUGCAAUUGUUCCUGAAUCCGACUGAUAUUUGAUUGACUUCUUGUCUUGUAGGUUUAUACUGAGAUGUACUCGAUGCCCAAUGGUGAAUAAGCCCUGGAGCAAGACCAGGAGGGAGAGGACAGCACAGAAGAGAGCGGUGACUGGCAAUCUCCAGAAGAUGACGACGAGGAAGAUAGUGAUGAGUCGGACAACGAAGAGGUAGUCGACUCACCACCUUGCUCAGAGCAUUGAUCCAAGCAACUCCAAGAUCCGGCGGGCGGGCGCGGCAAGACCGUGGCUCCAAGUACCCAAGCACAGAAGCGCACUCGGACUUCGACUCCGGAGCAGACGGAGAAGGUCGCCAAGAAACCCAAGGUGGCCCCUUCGAAGCCUCGGAAGACCUUGCCCAAGAUCAAGAUGGACGUUCGUGUUACCUCUGGGUGAGUGCUCUAUCUUUCUGCGUUUUCUUCUACCAACUCAUACUUCUGCUCUGACCGAGUGGGUUAUGAACUUUUUCAGCGCUGCAACUUCUGCGACUUCCAUGGACGUUGACAAGGUCCCACGUGAUGAGGAGGCCGAUGACGUGACCACUUCCAAAGCCGGUAUGUUCUUUCCAACUUGAGUUUAUUCUGCCGACUGGGUUGUUGUUCGAUUGAACACUGAAGGUUGCUUUUUGUUGCAGCUCCGCGGGAUGUCAUUGAGCUUCCGGAUGAUGAAGAAGAAGUGCCUCUGAGGGAGAGAAGAAGGAGGAGCAGGGCCUCAAGCGGGAGGGCGACCGAGAGUCAAGUGCCUCAGUCGACAUCAGUGCCUGAGACGGUGGUCUAGCGAUUCGGAGAUCCGGCUCAGACCAAUGUUACCUUUGCCAAUCCUCCAUAGACUGACCGUCCUUCGGGGUCGACUGCUCAGACCUCUGCUGCUCCAGUACAACUCCAUGCUUCCGACCCUGUGGCUGCUCCGACUGUACUACCAUCAUCGCUCUUUGCUGCAUACCAGACUCCAGACGACCCGCCGAGUGCCGCCAGGGAGGCCCUUCUCCAGGCAAACCUCGUGAUGGAGCAGAUGAAGGUGGUGCAUGAGGCGAGUCAGGUUGCCUACAAUGCCAGCACCGCUCUGCAAGCCAACGUCAAGGUUAGUUGGUUUCCGACUGGUCUCUUGAGUAGUGAUAGUUGCGACUAUUGCUUCACUGUCCAUACGGUGUCCUUGGAUGAGCGUUUUGGAACCUUUUAUGUGCAUCUAUCAUGGGUCUGCAUUUUGCAUCCAAUCACCCACUGGGGUGUUUCUGACUUAGAGCUGAAUAGUUCUUCCACUUGAGUCGACCAAGUUGAGUCGAGUGUUUUUCUGAACCAGUGGGGGCACGCAGAGUGCACCCACUAGUCCCCGACACCGCGGUCGACUGCUAGUAGUUGGCUGGGGUCUGUGAAUCCCUUUUUUUUACUCAUGUUGGGCAGACCAUGCCGAGUGUAAAACUGGACCAGUGGGGGCACGCCAAGUGCACACACUGGGUGUAGUCCCCGAGACUACUGUUGAAUGUUUGAUUCAGCGGUAGUCUUAGAGCAACUUUCGAUGUGAUUGACUUUUGUUUCUGUCGACUAACAUAUCUUAUUUGCUGACUGCAGAAGUCUUGUGAUCUUGGAGCCCAAUUUUCUGAACUGGAGAAGAAGCAGAUCAGCCUCAACCUUGAUCUGGAACUGGCCAAGAAGAACCUCAAGAAGGCCGAGGACGAAGCAGCUACCAUGGGAGGUAACCAUUCAUCGACUGUCCACCUUAUGAUUCUCUCUCUUUUUUUAGUAUCUUUGAACCGAGUGACUCCACACGACUAGAUGUGUGUAGUGAAAACCAUCAACUCCAAGCUCAUCUGAAGAAUGUUAUUUCUUAAGAGAAAAUGAAGCAGCCUCUAGAGAAGAAGGAUCAAGAUCUUGCCGCAGCCCAGAAGGAGGGGCGAGAGAAAACGGCACUUGCGGACAAGAAGUUGGCCUCAGUGAAAAAGUUGGAAGAGGAGAACUCCAAGUUGAAGACUGCCGUUUCUAAAGCCAACCAGGAGGUUGCACGACUGAAGAAGGACAAAGAAAGCUUGACUGAUGAAGUUGGAAGUCUCAAGGCCAAGAAGGGCGAAUUGGAGUCUUAUCUGGGGCAGCUUGCUGCAAAGUUGGUCUUGAAGCUUGAAGGUAUUUCCUCUUGUUCAACUGAUUUGUUGAUGUCGACUGACACACCUUGUCAAACUGUCAAUUCACUGCUUCUCCGACUGUGCAGAACUUUGUCAAGACUUCGAAGCAGAAAUUGGGCGGGUCAAGAAAGGUCUCGGCCCCAUAAACUCUCCUGUCAAAGAUGACGUUGCAAUGAAUGUGCCGCGGUUGGAGUCUUGCAUGUGUGAAUUAUCUCGCUCGACUGAAGGCGGCAAUGACGCGGAUUGAUGCUGAACUCUGGCCUCAGACGGAACUCUCACAGGAUCUCGAGUCUUUGAUGACUCGACUGAAUCAAAUCCCUUGUUGAGUGCAGGAAUGGAAGAAGUCAUCUGCUCGUUGUGGCGCUGAUGUCGCUCUGUCAUUGGUCCGAGUACACUGCAAGGAAGUCAUAGAAGACAAGGUGGCGGCCCUCAAGGUUGCCAACACCAAGAACCUCAGCUUCCAGUCUUUUAUGGACACCUUCCUUGAUGCCACCACUCGCAUUGCAGACAACAUCAACCUUGACAGCUUUUGCGAUACAGCAAGUCCUCCUCCUGCCGAGUGAACAAACAUUAUGCUUCACCUUUAUUUGCCUCGGAAUGCCGAGUGGUUAUGUAACUGUUAAACUCUUUCAGGCUUGAUGCCUGAGUACUUCUGCCCGUUGUGGUUAUGAACUUUUGCGGGAUUUAUCUGAACUUGGUUUUCUUUGAAUACCAUGGCUUUUGCCUUUAUCGCUUUUGAAUAUCUUUUGAUUCCGAGUGAGCUUGAUCUUUUCACCUUUCGUCGAAUGGGUCUGACGAUGUGCUCAGUCGACACCUCGUCAUCCUUGUGGAUCGGGAUGGAGAGUACAUUGUACUUGUGGCGCAACUCAGACAUGGUGUUCAGUCGACACCUCAUUGUCCUUGCGGAUCGGGAUGGAGAGUAAAUUUACUUGUGGCGCAGCUCAAACGUGGUGUUCAGUCGACACCUCGUCGUCCUUGCGGAUCAGGAUGGAGCGUACGUUGUACUUGUGACGUAGCUCAGACGCAGUGUUCAAUCGACACCUUGUCAUCCUUGCGGAUCGGGAUGGAGCUUAUGUUGUACUUGUGACGUAGCUCAAAGGAUCUUUGCGACUUAGGCGAGUACGGGGUUGCAGCUAAGCCCCCGAGUGGGAGGAUUGCUUUCCACUCGGAAUGUUUUUAACUUAGGCGAGUACGGGUCGCAGCUAAGCCCCCGAGUGGGAGGAUUGCUCUCCACUCGGAAUGUUUUUAACUUAGGCGAGUAUGGGGUCGCAGCUAAGACCCCGAGUGGGAGGAUUGCUCUCCACUCAGAAUGUUUUUAACUUAUGCGAGUUUGGGGUCGCAGCUAAGCCUCCGAGUGGGAGGAUUGCUCUCCACUCAGAAUGUUUUUAACUUAGGCGAGUACGGGGUCGCAGCUAAGCCCCCGAGUGGGAGGAUUGCUCUCCACUCGGAAUGUUUUAAACUAAGGCGAGUACGGGGUCACAGCUAAGCCCUCGAGUGGGAGGAUUGCUCUCCACUCAGAAUGUUUUUAACUUAGGCGAGUUCGGGGUCGCAGCUAAGCCUCCGAGUGGGAGGAUUGCUCUCCACUCGGAAUGUUUUUAACUUAGGCGGGUACGGGGUCGUAGCUAAGCCUCCGAGUGGGAGGAUUGCUCUCCACUCGGAAUGUUUUUUAAACUUAGGCGAAUCAGGUUCGCGGCUAAGCUACCCACUUGGGGAUUUAGACACAAAUGAUUACGGGGAAUCAAUCAUUAAGAUACUGUAAAAACCUUGUCUUUGGAAAGCAAACUGAAGUACUCUUAUUACAACUCGUCGGGUCGAGUGACUUUAGGUAUAGAAAGGACGAAGCAUCUCUGCGUUCCAUGCGCGUGGCUCGUCCAUGUUCUUGGCUAUGUAGAUGUGGUACGCUCCAUUGUGAAGCACCUUGGUGAUGAUGAAGGGACCUUCCCAGGCCAGAGCAAGCUUGUGAGGCCGUUUCUGAUCCACUCAAAGCACAAGGUCUCCUUCCUGAAAUGCUCGACCUCUGACAUUGCGAGCAUGGAAUCAACGCAGAUCCUGCUGAUAGAUGGUCAACCGAAUCAAAGCCAUCUCGUGUUCCUCUUCUAGGAGACCAACUGCGUCUUCGCAUGCCUGCUCUGCUUCAGCUUCUGAGAAGAGUUCCACUCGGGGGGGGGGGUUGUGCAGCAAGUCACUCGAAAGCACAGCCUCAGCGUCGUACACCAGGAAGAAAGGGGUUCGGUCAGUCGACCGGUUUGGCAUCGUUCUCAGGCCCCAUAGGACGAAUGGUAAUUCAAUCACCAAAUCUCCAGCAGCGUGCUUGAGGUCGCGCAUCAGUCGGGGUUUUAACCCUUGAAGGAUCAAACCAUUCGUCCUUUCUGCUUGCCCAUUCGACUGCGGGUGUGCAACGGAUGCAUAGUUGACCCGAGUGCCUUGGGAGGCAAAGAACGCCUUGAACUCAUCAGAAUCAAAGUUGGAGCCAUUAUAUGUGAUAAUGCUGUGAGGAACUCCAUAUCUGAAUAUCAACUCCUUGAUGAAACUGACGGCAGUGCCUACGUCAAGGUGUUUGAUGGGCUUGGCUUCGAUCCACUUGGUGAACUUGUCGACCGCUACAAGCAAAUGGGUGAAACCACUUCUUCCGGUCUUGAAGGGUCCAACCAUAUCCAAUCCCCAGACUACAAACGGCCAGACAAGUGGAAUAGUCUUCAAGGCAGAUGCAGGCUUGUGGGACAUGUUGGAGUAGAAUUGGCAACCUGCGCACUUGUCAACUAUAUCCUUUGCCAUCUCAUUUGCUUGAGGCCAGUAGAAUCCCGCUCGGUAUGCUUUGGCCACGAUGGACCGAGAGGAUGCAUGGUGACCACUGAUACGUCUCCAACAUAUCUAUAAUUUUUGAUUGCUCCAUGCUACUUUAUCUACUGUUUCGGACUAUAUUGGGCUUUAUAUUCCACUUUUAUAUUAUUUUUGGGACUAACCUAUUAACCGGAGGCCCAGCCCAGAAUUGUUGUUUUUUGCCUAUUUCAAUGUUUCGAAGAAACGGAAUAUCAAACGAACGUGAUUUUCUCACCGAACAUGAUCCAGGAGACUUGGACCCUACUCCAAGAAGUAACAGAGGUGGUCACAAGGGUGGGGGCGCCCCCCCCCCAGGGCGCGCCCCUGCCUCGUGGCCCCCUGUUGCUCCACCGACAUACUCCUUCCUCCUAUAUAUACAUAUGUAUCCCCAAACGUUCAGAACAGGAGCCAAAAACCUAAUUCCACCGUCACAACCUUCUGUAUCCAUGAGAUCCCAUCUUGGGGCCUGUUCCGGAGCUCCGCCGGAGGGGCAUCCACCAUGGAGGGCUUCUACAUCAACACCAUAGCCCCUCCGAUGAAGUGUGAGUAGUUUACUUCAGACCUUCGGGUCCAUAGCUAGUAGCUAGAUGGCUUCUUCUCUCUUUUUGGAUCUCAAUACAAUGUUCUCCCCCUCUCUCAUGGAUAUCUAUUCAAUGUAAUCUUCUUUUUGCGGUGUGUUUGUUGAGACCGAUGAAUUGUGGGUUUAUGAUCCAACUUAUCUAUGAACAAUAUUUGAAUCUUCUAUGAAUUCUUUUAUGUAUGAUUGAGUUAUCUUUGCAAGUCUCUUCGAAUUAUCCUUUUGGUUUGGCCAACUAGAUUGGUAGUUCUUGCAAUGGGAGAAGUGCUUAGCUUUGGGUUCAAUCUUGCGGUGUCCUUUCCCAGUGACAGAAGGGGCAGCAAGGCACGUAUUGUAUUGUUGCCAUCGAGGAUAACAAGAUGGGGUUUUUAUCAUAUUGCAUGAAUUUAUCCCUCUACACCAUGUCAUCUUGCUUAAGGCGUUACUCUGUUUUUAACUUAAUACACUAGAUGCAUGUUGGAUUGCGGUCGAUGAGUGGAGUAAUAGUAGUAGAUGCAGAAUCAUUUCGAUCUACUUGUCUUGGACGUGAUGCCUAUAUACAUGAUCAUACGUAGAUAUACUCAUAACUAUGCUCAAUUCUAUCAAUUGCUCAACAGUAAUUUGUUCACCUACCGUAGAAUAUUUAUGCUCUUGAGAGAAGCCACUAGUGAAACCUAUGGCCCCCGGGUCUAUUCUCAUCAUAUCAAUCUCUACUACUUUAUUAUUUUCUUUGUUUUUACUUUGCCUUUUACUUUUUACGUUGAAUCUUUAUACCAAAAAUACCAAAAAUAUUAUUUAUCAUCUCUAUCAGAUCUCACUCUCGUAAGUGACCGUGAAGGGAUUGACAACCCCUAAUCGCGUUGGUUGCGAGGAGCUAUCGUUUUGUGUAGGUACGAGGGACUUGUGCGUGGUCUCCUACUGGAUUGAUACCUUGGUUCUUAAAAACUGAGGGAAAUACUUACGCUACUUUGCUGCAUCAUCCUCUCCUCUUCGGGGAAAUCCAACGCAGUGCUCAAGAGGUAGCAAGAAGAAUUUCUAGCGCCGUUGUCGGGGAGGCUCACGCAAGCAAGUCAACCAUACCAAGUACCCAUCACAAUCCCUAUCUCUCGCAUUACAUUAUUUGCCAUUUACCUCUCGUUUUCCUCUCCCCCACUUCACCCUUGCCGUUUUAUUCGCCCUCUCUUUCCCAAUCUCUUCCCUCUUUUCCGUUUGCUUUCUCGUUGCCAUGGCCGAAUCAAAAAGAACUACGGGUUUUCUCCCGAGCUCUAGUGCCUUGGACAACCCCUCUAUCCUCUCUAAGCUCAUAAAUAAUUAUGGUAUAGAAAGACCCACCGGGGUCUCCAAUGAGAGCUUGAAUAAUUUUGAUGAGGAUGAGUCUGGAAUUUUUCGCUAUUUACUUGAUGAGUCUUUAAAAGAUGCUUGGGAUAGGUUACUUAGGAUUCGGGCUAGUUAUGUACCACAAUAUCAAAUUGAAAUUUACCUAAAAAGCUUUUAUGUUGGCCUGCCCGCUUCUUUCAAACAAGUUUUAGAUUCCAUCUUUGAAGAAGGUUUUCUUAAAGGGGAUGCUAUAGAUACCUAUGAAAGAAUGAAAAAUAAAUUUGGGCACCCCAUGAAUGAUAAGGUUGAAUCGACUACUCUCUUGCGCUUUUAUCAAAAUGAAAUUAUUAAAGAGAUGAAGUUUAGUUUAGAGGAAAAUUUCCGUAACGUGCUUAAUCUUACUUCUUCCAUUAAUGGCCAUGUGCUUAACUUAAAUAGAAGAAUGAAUGCCAUAGAAAGGAGAUCCACCUCUCCAAGUACCAAAGAUGGCAAUACCUAGAUCUAUCCUUGCUUUUAUGCCUAGCUAGGGGCGUUAAACGAUAGCGCUUGUUGGGAGGCAACCCAAUUUUAUUUUGUGUUUUUUGUUUUUACUUCUCUUUAGGAAUAAAUAAUACAUCUAGCUUCUCUUUGGAUGUGGUUUUAUGUUUUAAUUAGUGUUUGUGCCAAGUAGAACCUAUAGGAUAACCUACGAUGAUAGUUGAUUCGAUUCUGCUGAAAAACAGAAACUUUGCAUGCACGAAUAUAAUUUUGUUAAAUCACAGGAACGUGAUUUUGCGUUGAUUCUUUUUGCUUCUGUUCAAGUAACAAAUUGUACAGGACGUCCUAUUUUGGUAGAAUUUUUAGAGCUCCAGAAGUUUGCAUUAGUUACAGAUUACUACAGACUGUUCUGUUUUUGACAGAUUCUGUUUUGCGUGUGUUGUUUGCUUAUUUUUGAUGACUCUAUGGCUAGUAAAAUAGUUUAUAAUCCAUAGAGAAGUUGGAAUACAGUAGGUUUAACACCAAUAUAAAUAAAGAAUGAGUUCAUUACAGUACCUUGAAGUAGUCUUUUGUUUUCUUUCUCUAACGGAGCUCACGAGAUUUCUAUUGAGUUUUGUGUUGUGAAGUUUUCAAGUUUUGGGUGAAUUCUUUUGAUGGAUUAUGGAAUAAGGAGUGGCAACAGCCUAAGAUUGGGGAUGCACAUGGCACCCCCAAGAUAAUCUAAGGACACCAAAAAGUCAAAGCUUGGGUAUGCCCCGGAAGGCAUCCCCACUUCCAUCGGUAAUUUACUUGGAGCUAUAUUUUUAUUUACUACAUGAUAUGUGUUUUGCUUGGAGCGUCUUGUAUUAUUUGUGUCUUUGCAUGUUAGUCUACCACAAUCGACCUUUCUGUACACACCUUUUGAGAGAGCCAUACAUGAAUUGGAAUUUGUUAGAAUACUCUAUGUGCUUCACUUAUAUCUUUUGAGCUUGAUUGUUUUGCUCAUAGUGCUUCACUUAUAUCUUUUGAGCGUGAUAAUUUUUGCUCUAGUACUUCACUUAGAUCUUUUAGAGCAUGGUGGUGGAUUUGUUUUAAAGAAACUAUUGAUCUCUCAUGCUUCACUUAUAUUAUUUUGAGAGUCGUUAAUAGCAUGAUAAUUUGCUUAAUAUGAAUAUACUUGGUAUUCAAGAUAUGUGAAACUUUCUUUUGAGUGCGUUGAAUACUAAGAUAAGUUUGAUGCUUGAUAAUUGUUUUGAGAUAUGGAGGUGAUAAUAUCAAAGUCGUGCUAGUUGGGUGAUUAUGAAUUCAAAGAAUGCUUGUGUUGAAGUUUGCAAGUCCCAUAGCAUGCACGUAUGGUUAAAGUUGUGUAACAAAUUUGAAACAUGAAGUGUACGUGGCUUGUGCAUCCUUAUGAGUGGCGGUCGGGGACAAGCGAUGGUCUUUUCCUACCAAUCUAUCCCCCUAGGAGCAUGCACGUACUACUUGAUUUUUGAUGACUUCUAAAUUUUUGCAAUAAGUAUAUGAGUUCUUUUGACUAAUGUUGAGUCCAUGGAUUAUACGCACUCUCACCUUUCCGCCUUUGCUAGCCUCUUCGGUACCGUGCAUUGCCCUUUCUCACCUUGAGAAUUGGUGCAAACUUCGCCGGUGCAUCCAAACCCCGUGAUACGAUACGCUCUAUCACACAUAAACCUCCUUAUAUCUUCCUCAAAACAGCCACCAUACCUACCUAUCAUGGCAUUUCCAUAGCCAUUCCGAGAUAUAUUGCCAUGCAACUUCCAUCAUCAUAUUCAUGACAUACAUUAGUUUUGUCAUAUUGCCAUUGCAUGAUCAUGUAGUUGACAUCGUAUUUGUGGCAAAGCCACCAUGCAUUAUUUUUCAUACAUGUCACUCUUGAUUCAUUGCACCAUCCCGGUACACCGCCGGAGGCAUUCAUAUAGAGUCAUAUCUUGUUCUAAGUUUCGAGUUGUAAUCCUUAUGUUGUAAUCAAUAGAAGUGUGAUGAUCAUCAUUAUCAGAGCAUUGCCCAAAAAAAAGAAGGCCAAAGAAAAAAAAGAAAGGCCCAAAAAAAAGAAAAUAAAUAAAAAGGGCAAUACUACUAUCUCUUUUUCCACACUUGUGCUUCAAAGUAGCACCUUGUUCUUCAUGUAUUGAGUCUCAUAUAUUGUGCUUGAAAGUAGCACCUUGUUCUUCAUGUAGUGAGUCUCAUAAAUUGUCUUUUUAUACUAGUGGGAAUUUUUCAUUAUAGAACUUGGCUUGUAUAUUCCUACAAUGGGCUUCCUCAAAUGCCCUAGGUCUUCAUGAGCAAGCAAGUUGGAUGCACACCCACUAGUUUUUUUUGUUGAGCAUUCAUAGCUCUAGUGCAUCCGUUGCAUGGCAAUCCCUACUCCUCAUGUUGACAUCAAUUAAUGGGCAUCUCCAUAGCCCGUUGAUUAUUCUCGUCAAUGUGAGACUUUCUCCUUUUUUGUAUUCUCCAUACAAUCCCCAUCAUCAUAUUCUAUUCCACCCAUAGUGCUAUAUCCAUGGCUCACACUCAUGUAUUGCGUGAAGGUUGAAAAAGUUUGAGAUUAUUUAAGUAUGAAACAAUUGCUUGGCUUGUCAUCGGGGGUAUAGAAGUUGGGAACAUCUUUGUGUGACGAAAAUGAAGCAUAGCCUAACUAUAUGAUUUUGUAGGGAUAAACUUUCUUUUGCUAUGCUAUUUUGAGAAGACAUGAUUGCUUUGAUUAGUAUGCUUGAAGAAUUAUUAUUUUUGUGUCAAUAUGAACUUUUGUCUUGAAUCUUUCGGAUCUGAAUUCAUAUCACAAUUAAGAAGAUUUACAUUGAAAUUAUGCCAAAGUAUCACUCCGAAUCAAAAAUUCUUUUUUUUAUCAUUUACCUACUCGAGGACGAGCAGGAAUUAAGCUUGGGGAUGCCUGAUACAUCUCCAACGUAUCUAUAAUUUUUGAUUGCUCCAUGCUACUUUAUCUACUGUUUCGGACUAUAUUGGGCUUUAUUUUCCACUUUUAUAUUAUUUUUGGGACUAACCUAUUAACUGGAGACGCAGCCCAGAAUUGUUGUUUUUUGCCUAUUUCGGUGUUUCGAAGAAACAGAAUAUCAAAUGGAGUCCAAACGGAAUGAAACCUUCGGGAACGUGAUUUUCUCACCGAACGUGAUCGAGGAGACUUGGACCCUACUCCAAGAAGUAACAGAGGCGGUCACGAGGGUGGGGGCGCCCCCCCCCCCUAGGGCGCACCCCCUGCCUCGUGGCCCCCCUGUUGCUCCACCGACGUACUCCUUCCUCCUAUAUAUACCUACGUAUCCCCAAACAAUCAUAACAGGAGCCAAAAACCUAAUUCCACCGCCGCAACCUUCUGUAUCCAUGAGAUCCCAUCUUGGGGCCUGUUCGGGAGCUCCGCCGAAGGGGGCAUCCACCACGAAGGGCUUCUACAUCAACACCAUAGCCCCUCCGAUGAAGUGUGAGUAGUUUACUUCAGACCUUCGGGUCCAUAGCUAGUAGCUAGAUGGCUUCUUCUCUCUUUUUGGAUCUCAAUACAAUGUUCUCCCCCUCUCUCGUGGAGAUCUAUUCAAUGUAAUCUUCUUUUACGGUGUGUUUGUUGAGACGGAUGAAUUGUGGGUUUAUGAUCCAGCUUAUCUAUGAACAAUAUUUGAAUCUUCUCUGAAUUCUUUUAUGUAUCAUUGAGUUAUCUUUGCAAGUCUCUUCGAAUUAUCCUUUUGGUUUGGCCAACUAGAUUGGUAGUUCUUGCAAUGGGAGAAGUGCUUAGCUUUGGGUUCAAUCUUGCGAUGUCCUUUCCCAGUGACAGAAGGGGCAGCAAGGCACGUAUUGUAUUAUUGCCAUCGAGGAUAACAAGAUGGGGUUUUUAUCAUAUUGCAUGAAUUUAUCCCUCUACACCAUGUCAUCUUGCUUAAGGCGUUACUCUGUUUUUAACUUAAUACACUAGAUGCAUGUUGGAUUGCGGUCGAUGAGUGGAGUAAUAGUAGUAGAUGCAGAAUCAUUUCGAUCUACUUUUCUUGGACGUGACGCCUAUAUACAUGAUCAUACGUAGAUAUACUCAUAACUAUGCUCAAUUCUAUCAAUUGCUCAACAGUAAUUUGUUCACCCACCGUAGAAUAUUUAUGCUCUUGAGAGAAGCCACUAGUGAAACCUAUGGCCCCCGGGUCUAUUCUCAUCAUAUCAAUCUCUACUACUUUAUUAUUUGCUUUGUUUUUACUUUGCCUUUUACUUUUUACGUUGAAUCUUUAUACCAAAAAUACCAAAAAUAUUAUUUAUCAUCUCUAUCAGAUCUCACUCUCGUAAGUGAUCGUGAAGGGAUUGACAACCCCUAAUCGCGUUGGUUGUGAGGAGCUAUCGUUUUGUGUAGGUACGAGGGACUUGUGCGUGGUCUCCUACUGGAUUGAUACCUUGGUUCUUAAAAACUGAGGGAAAUACUUACGCUACUUUGCUGCAUCAUCCUCUCCUCUUGGGGGAAAUCCAACGCAGUGCUCAAGAGGUAGCAAGAAGAAUUUCUAGCGCCGUUGUCGGGGAGGCUCACGCAAGCAAGUCAACCAUACCAAGUACCCAUCACAAUCCCUAUCUCUCGCAUUACAUUAUUUGCCAUUUACCUCUCGUUUUCCUCUCCCCCACUUCACCCUUGCCAUUUUAUUCGCCCUCUCUUUCCCAAUCUCUUCCCUCUUUUCCGUUUGCCUUCUCGUUGCCAUGGCCGAAUCAAAAAGAACUACGGGUUUUCUCCCGAGCUCUAGUGCCUUGGACAACCCCUCUAUCCUCUCUAAGCUCAUAAAUAAUUAUGGUAUAGAAAGACCCACCGGGGUCUCCAAUGAGAGCUUGAAUAAUUUUGAUGAGGAUGAGUCUGGAAUUUUUCGCUAUUUACUUGAUGAGUCUUUAAAAGAUGCUUGGGAUAGGUUACUUAGGAUUCGGGCUAGUUAUGUACCACAAUAUCAAAUUGAAAUUUACCUAAAAAGCUUUUAUGUUGGCCUGCCCGCUUCUUUCAAACAAGUUUUAGAUUCCAUCUUUGAAGAAGGUUUUCUUAAAGGGGAUGCUAUAGAUACCUAUGAAAGAAUGAAAAAAUAUAUUUGGGCACCCCAUGAAUGAUAAGGUUGAAUUGACUACUCUCUUGCGCUUUUAUCAAAAUGAAAUUAUUAAAGAGAUGAAGUCUAGUUUAGAGGAAAAUUUCCGUAACGUGCUUAAUCUUACUUCUUCCAUUAAUGGCCAUGUGCUUAACUUAAAUAGAAGAAUGAAUGCCAUAGAAAGGAUAUCCACCUCUCCAAGUACCAAAGAUGGCAAUACCUAGAUCUAUCCUUGCUUUUAUGCCUAGCUAGGGGCGUUAAACGAUAGCGCUUGUUGGGAGGCAACCCAAUUUUAUUUUGUGUUUUUUUGUUUUUGCUUCUAUUUAGGAAUAAAUAAUACAUCUAGCUUCUCUUUGGAUGUGGUUUUAUGUUUUAAUUAGUGUUUGUGCCAAGUAGAACCUAUAGCAUAACCUACGAUGAUAGUUGAUUUGAUUCUACUGAAAAACAGAAACUUUGCGCGCACGAAUAUAAUUUUGUUAAAUCACAGGAACGUGAUUUUGCGUUGAUUCUUUUUGAUGCUGUUCAAUAAACAAAUUGUCCAGGACUUCCUAUUUUGGUAGAAUUUUUAGAGUUCCAGAAGUUUGCGUUAGUUACAGAUUACUACAGACUGUUCUGUUUUUGACAGAUUCUGUUUUGUGUGUGUUGUUUGCUUAUUUUUGAUGACUCUAUGGCUAGUAAAAUAGUUUAUAAUCCAUAUAGAAGUUGGAAUACAGUAGUUUUAACACCAAUAUAAAUAAAGAAUUAGUUUAUUACAGUACCUUGAAGUAGUCUUUUGUUUUCUUUCUCUAACGGAGCUCACGAGAUUUCUAUUGAGUUUUGUGUUGUGAAGUUUUCAAGUUUUGGGUGAAUUCUUUUGAUGGAUUAUGGAACAAGGAGUGGCAAGAGCCUAAGCUUGGGGAUGCCCAUGGCACCCCCAAUAUAAUCUAAAGACACCAAAAAGUCAAAGCUUAGGGAUGCCCCGGAAGGCAUCCCCUCUUUCGUCCACUUCCAUCGGUAAUUUACUUGGAGCUAUAUUUUUAUUCACUAUAUGAUAUGUGCUUUGCUUGGAGCGUCUUGUAUUAUUUGUGUAUUUGCUUGUUAGUCUACCACAAUCAUCCUUGUUGUACACACCUUUUGAGAGAGCCAUACAUGAAUUGGAAUUUGUUAGAAUACUCUAUGUGCUUCACUUAUAUCUUUUGAGCUUGAUAGUUUUGCUUAUAGUGCUUCACUUAUAUCUUUUGAGUGUGAUAAUUUUUGCUCUAGUACUUCACUUAGAUCUUUUAGAGCACAGUGGUGGAUUUGUUUUAAAGAAACUAUUGAUCUCUCAUGCUUCACUUAGAUUAUUUUGAGAGUCAUUAAUAGCAUGGUAAUUUGCUUAAUAUUAAUAUACUUGGUAUUCAUGAUAUGUGAAACUUUCUUUUGAGUGCGUUGAAUACUAAGAUAAGUUUGAUGCUUGAUAAUUGUUUUGAGAUAUGGAGGUGAUAAUAUCAAAGUCGUGCUAGUUGGGUGAUUAUGAAUUCAAAGAAUGCUUGUGUUGAAGUUUGCAAGUCCCAUAGCAUGCACGUAUGGUUAAAGUUGUGUAACAAAUUUGAAACAUGAAGUGUACCUGGCUUGUUCAUCCUUAUGAGUGGCAGUCAGGGACGAGCGAUGGUCUUUUCCUACCAAUCUAUCCCCCUAGGAGCAUGCAUGUAGUACUUGAUUUUUGAUGACUUCUAAAUUUUUGCAAUAAGUAUAUGAGUUCUUUUGACUAAUGUUGAGUCCAUGGAUUAUACGCACUCUCACCUUUCUGCCUUUGCUAGCCUCUUCGGUACCGUGCAUUGCCCUUUCUCACCUUGAGAAUUGGUGCAAACUUCGUCGGUGCAUCCAAACCCCGUGAUACGAUACGCUCUAUCACACAUAAACCUCCUUAUAUCUUCCUCAAAACAGCCACCAUACCUACCUAUCAUGGCAUUUCCAUAGCCAUUCCGAGAUAUAUUGACAUGCAACUUCCAUCAUCAUAUUCAUGACAUACAUUACUUUUGUCAUAUUGCCAUUGCAUGAUCAUGUAGUUGACAUCGUAUUUGUGGCAAAGCCACCAUGCAUUAUUUUUCAUACAUGUCACACUUGAUUCAUUGCACCAUCCCGGUACACCGCCGGAGGCAUUCAUAUAGAGUCAUAUCUUGUUCUAAGUUUCGAGUUGUAAUCCUUAUGUUGUAAUCAAUAGAAGUGUGAUGAUCAUCAUUAUUAGAGCAUUGCCCAAAAAAAGAGAAAGGCCAAAGAAAAAAAAGAAAGGCCCAAAAAAGAAAAUAAAUAAAAAGGGUAAUGCUACUAUCUCUUUUUCCACACUUGUGAUUCAAAGUAGCACCUUGUUAUUCAUGUAGUGAGUCUCAUAUAUUGUGCUUCAAAGUAGCACCUUGUUCUUCAUGUAGUGAGUCUCAUAAGUUGUCUUUUUAUACUAGUGGGAAUUUUUCAUUAUUGAACUUGGCUUGUAUAUUCCUACAAUGGGCUUCCUCAAAUGCACUAGGUCUUCAUGAGCAAGCGAGUUCGAUGCACACCCACUAGUUUUCUUUUGUUGAGCAUUCAUAGCUCUAGUGCAUCCGUUGCAUGGCAAUACCUACUCCUCAUGUUGACAUCAAUUAAUGGGCAACUCCAUAGCCCGUUGAUUAUCCUCGUCAAUGUGAGACUUUCUCCUUUUUUGUCUUCUCCACACAAUCCCCAUCAUCAUAUUCUAUUCCACCCAUAGUGCUAUAUCCAUGGCUCACGCUCAUGUAUUGCCUGAAGGUUGAAAAAUUUUGAGAUUAUUUAAGUAUGAAACAAUUGCUUGGCUUGUCAUCGGGGGUAUAGAAGCUGGGAACAUCUUUGUGUGAUGAAAAUGAAGCAUAGCCUAACUAUAUGAUUUUGUAGGGAUAAACUUUCUUUUGCCAUGCUAUUUUGAGAAGACAUGAUUGCUUUGAUUAGUAUGCUUGAAGUAUUAUUAUUUUUGUGUCAAUAUGAACUUUUGUCUUGAAUCUUUUGGAUCUGAAUAUUCAUAUCACAAUUAAGAAGAUUUACAUUGAAAUUAUGCCAAAGUAUCACUCCGCAUCAAAAUUUCUUUUUUUAUCAUUUACCUACUCGAGGACGAGCAGGAGUUAAGCUUGGGGAUGCCUGAUACGUCUCCAACAUAUCUAUAAUUUUUUAUUGCUCCAUGCUACUUUAUCUACUGUUUCGGACUAUAUUGGGCUUUAUUUUCCACUUUUAUAUUAUUUUUGGGACUAACCUAUUAAUCGGAGGCCCAGCCCAGAAUUGUUGUUUUUUGCCUAUUUCAGUGUUUCUAAGAAACGGAAUAUCAAAUGGAGUCCAAACGGAAUGAAACCUUCGGGAACGUGAUUUUCUCACCGAACGUGAUCCAGGAGACUUGGACCCUACUCCAAGAAGUAACGGAGGCGGUCACGAGGGUGGGGGCACCCCCCCUCCUAGGUCGCGCCCCCCUGCCUCGUGGCCCCCCUCUUGCUCCACCGACGUACUCCAUCCUCCUAUAUAUACCUACGUAUCCCCAAACGAUCAGAACAGGAGCCAAAAACCUAAUUCCACCGUUGCAACCUUCUGUAUCCACGAGAUCCCAUCUUGGGGCCUGUUCUGGAGCUCCACCGGAGGGGGCAUCCACCAUGGAGGGCUUCUACAUCAACACCAUAGCCCUCCGAUGAAGUGUGAGUAGUUUACUUCAGACCCUUGGGUCCAUAGCUAGUAGCUAGAUGGCUUAUUCUCUCUUUUUGGAUCUCAAUACAAUGUUCUCCCCCUCUCUCGUGGAGAUCUAUUCGAUGUAAUCUUCUUUUUGCGGUGUGUUUGUUGAGACCGAUGAAUUGUGGGUUUAUGAUCCAGCUUAUCUAUGAACAAUAUUUGAAUCUUCUCUGAAUUCUUUUAUGUAUGAUUGAGUUAUCUUUGCAAGUCUCUUCGAAUUAUCCUUUUGGUUUGGCCAACUAGAUUGGUAGUUCUUGCAAUGGAGAAGUGCUUAGCUUUGGGUUCAAUCUUGCGGUGUCCUUUCCCAGUGACAGAAGGGGCAGCAAGGCACGUAUUGUAUUGUUGCCAUCGAGGAUAACAAGAUGGGGGUUUUAUCAUAUUGCAUGAAUUUAUCCCUCUACAUCAUGUCAUCUUGCUUAAGGCGUUACUCUAUUUUUAACUUAAUACUCUAGAUGCAUGUUGGAUUGCGGUCGAUGAGUGGAGUAAUAGUAGUAGAUGCAGAAUCGUUUCGAUCUACUUGUCUUGGACGUGAUGCCUAUAUACAUGAUCAUACGUAGAUAUACUCAUAACUAUGCUCAAUUCUAUCAAUUGCUCAACAGUAAUUUGUUCACCCACCGUAGAAUAUUUAUGCUCUUGAGAGAAGCCACUAGUGAAACCUAUGGCCCCCGGGUCUAUUCUCAUCAUAUCAAUCUCUACUACUUUAUUAUUUGCUUUGUUUUUACUUUGCCUUUUACUUUUACGUUGAAUCUUUAUACCAAAAAUACCAAAAAUAUUAUUUAUCAUCUCUAUCAGAUCUCACUCUCGUAAGUGACUGUGAAGGGAUUGACAACCCCAAAUCGCGUUGGUUGCGAGGAGCUAUCGUUUUGUGUAGGUACGAGGGACUUGUGCGUGGUCUCCUACUGGAUUGAUACCUUGGUUCUCAAAAAUUGAGGGAAAUACUUACGCUACUUUGCUGCAUCAUCCUCUCCUCUUCGGGGAAAUCCAACGCAGUGCUCAAGAGGUAGGAACCACAGGUCCCCGAGUGGAUAUCGUUUAGGAUCAUUCGACCUUCUUCCGGGGUGAUGCAGCGCUGAGCCACUCCUGUGACACUUUCUCUGUAAAGUUGUCCUUUUAUCACUGUGAAGGCUUUGGAUCGAUGGACUAUCUGGUGAGCUUCAUCCUCAUCCUCUGGGAGCUCCUACUUGAGAAUGUACGCAAUGUACGGUACCGUCCAAUCGGGCAUGAUCACCAAGACUUCCAUGAUCAAGUCGACCAUGGUUGGAACCUCAAUCUCAGUCGGGUCAGUUGAAAUUAUUGGUUGCGGGGGCUCUUCCUUGAAGGGAUCUUCUUGCACUGACGGGGUAUGGAGAUGCUCCAAGAACACGUUGUUGGGGAUAGGCUUCCGAGUGGAACCUAUCUUCGCCAGAUCAUCAGCAGCUUGAUUCUUGAUUCGUGGUAUGUGGUGGAGCUCUAACCCCUCAAACUUCUUCUCUAGCUUUCUCACUGCAUUGCAAUAACCGGUCUUUGCGGGACUCCUGACGUCCCAUUCCUUCAUUACUUGAUUAACCACUAAGUCUGAGUCGCCAUAGACCAUCAAGCGCCGGACGCCGAGUGAAAUGGCCAUACGCAACCCAUACAAUAAUGCCUCAUACUCAGUUUCAUUGUUUGAAGAAUCAAAGUGAAUCUGGAGGACAUAACCAGUCCUGCGCCAGAGCCAUUCAACAUCUUGGAUCCAUCAAAGAACAUGGUCCAAUGUUCCUACUAAAUCUGAGUCAACUACUGUUGUUCUAUCCACUCUGCGAGGAAAUCUGCAAUUGCUUAAGACUUUAUGGCCUUCUUUGCCUCAAACUUGAUAUCUAAAGGAAGAAGUUCAAUCGCCCAUUUUGCCACUCGACCAGUUGCAUCUCUAUUAUCCAGAAUUUUUGACAAUGGAGCGUCACUGACGACUGAAACUGAGUGAUUAGAGAAAUAGUGUGCAACCUUCUUCGUGGUCAGGUAAAUCCCAUAAACAAGCUUCUGAUAGUGAGGGUAUCUCUGCUUGGACAGGGUUAAGACUUCUGAAAUGUAAUACACAGGGCGCUGAACUUUGAAGGCUUUGCCUUCUUCUUCCCGCUCGACUGUGAGCACUGUGCUAACAACUUGUCCCGUGGCUGCAAUGUAAAGCAGUAAAGGCUCCUUGCUAACUGGAGCAGCAAGCACCGGUUGGGUGGAAAGCGGGGCUUUGAGCUCUUCAAAUGCUACUUCAGCUUCGUCAUUCCACUCGAACUUGUCAGACUUCUUCAUCAGUAGGUAAAGAGGCAGUGCCUUUUCACCAAGGCGUGAGAUGAAUCGGCUCAAUGCAGCCAAACAACCAGUAAGCUUCUGAACAUCAUGCACACGCACUGGGUGCUUCAUUCGGAGGAUUGUGUCAAUCUUCUCUGGAUUCGCGUUGAUUCCUUGUUCAGAAACAAGAAAACCGAGUAACUUUCCGCCGGGGACUCCGAAUGUGCAUUCUAAUGGAUUGAGCUUGAUAUCAUACCUUCUUAAAUUGGCAAAGGUUUCAGCAAGGUCAGUCAGCAGGUCGGAACCUUUGCGUGACUUAACCACUAUGUCAUCCAUGUAUGCUUCCAUAUUUCGACAGAUUUGAGUGAGCAGGCACUUCUAAAUCAUGCGCAUGAAUGGGGCACCAGAAUUCUUGAGGCCAAAGGGGAUUGUAACAUAGCAAAAACACCCGAACGGGGUGAUGAAAUCUGUCUUUAUCUCAUUGGAUCCAUACAGUUGGAUCUCAUGGUACCCAGAAUAAGCGUCCAGAAAGGACAGUCGUUCACAUCCCGCAGUCGAGUCGACUAUCUGGUCGAUGAGGGGCAAAGGAAAAUGAUCUUUCGGGCAGGCCCUGUCAGGACCCCGACUCGAUGUCACAUCGAUCUAGCUGGUAACACCUCAUAUCACUUUGCGGCCUCACGCACGGUAUCCCCACGGGUGUCGUCUUACCUUUUUCCCGGGACCGUUUGCGCCUUUUGGCUCACGUAUAUGAUAGUGUCGCUAGCAUCCAUAUGAUAAAGAGCCCGGGCUGACAUGACUAGUCGUAAACCCAAAGUGGCACAGACUUACAGGGACAGGCAUCCAUGACCCAGCUUCGAACGUGUCGGUCAUCAGCAAGUGGGUCCGGGCUGUAGCACUGGGCUAGCAGGACUCCGGUAAACCGGGCUAUAGCGGGCUAACAGGACUCCGGUACUCAAAGCGUGACAUUUCCCCGAAGGGACAGACACAGGAACGAAGAAGGACACAUGCCGGCCAGCCUAAGUGUUCCAGAGCAGUAGCAAGCUACCAUGGCUCAGCGGUAACACUAGGAGACAUUUCCCGGUAAGAGAGGCUACUAAAGAUAAACAACUAGAUAGUCAGAUCCCACACAUACCAAGCAUUUCAAUCAUACACACAGUAUGCUCGAUAUGUGUAAAUACAACGAAGCAUCACAACAUGACUCUACGACACAAGUACUUUAUUUAAGGCUCAGGGAGCCAUACAUAAUAUACACACAAAGUUACGGGUCUCACGACCCAACAUACAAGUCAUACAAUCAUACAAGCCAACAGCGGAAGUAACUUGUCUGAGUACAGACAACUAGUAAAAUAAAAGAGGCUUGGAAAGCCUGGCUAUACUAUGUGGUCCUUCACAAGCUCAGGGUCACCACCUGGGUCUUUAGCCUACUCGUUGAUGUCAACGUCUACAUAGAACCCAUCAGAAGGGGUUGCAGCGUCUUCUGUAAACAUGUAGAUUAUAGCAACAUGAGUACAAAGGUACUCAGCAAGACUUACAUCAGAUCCUACAUACAUGCAUAGUAUCAAGAAGGGUUGGUGGAGUUAUUGCAGCAAGCCAGCUUUGACUCUUGGCUAGACUAUCCUACGAUACUCCAACUUGAAAUAGUUUUGCGCACACGAGUCCACUACUCACCACUUCAAUACACUACCGAGGAUCCACCUCCGUCUUCCUACGGAAGAGCCAUCCUCGGCACUCACACUUAUCUUGAGGCUUUUAAUAGUUUCCAUUUACUUGUCUAUGAACUGUAUAGGCAACCAAGUAGUCCUUUACCGCGGACGCGGCUAUUCGAAUAGAUUAUGAUAACCCUGCAGGGGUGUACUUCUUCAUACAUGUUUCCACCACUUAGCGUCUGCACACGACAUGUGCUCGGCAGACUUCAAGCGAAAGCCGACGUGGGUGUAGACCACGACCUACCUAAACACUUAAGCCUCUAGUCCAGGUUUAUCGCCUAUUCAGGUUCCAUCUGCAGGGAGUCCGGCCGAGGUUUCCCAUACGGCCCCGAACGAUGUGAACAGGGUUCCCGAGAUACCUAACGGGUAUUCGGUACACCCGGCCACGUACCUACCGCAUCACAGCCCACCCCUACGGUCAGCGCUGUCCACGGCCUCCAGUAGGCUACAAACACCAGAAACUACUUGCAACUCCUGGACAGAGAGCUAGGGUGAAUAAGAAGUCGAGCGGGGUCAUAUUUCAGGGCCCAAUGCAUGGUAGUAGCUGUAUCUUAAAUCACACAUACAGAUCUCAGUGCCUAAGGUCGGCUUCAAUGAAACAACCCACCAUGUACUCCUACAUGGCCUCUCAUCGAUACCUUUACCAAAUCGUGUUCACCACACCACUCUUAUUACCGACAUAAUCAUUUCACUCUAGCCCAUCACCCAGAUGAACCAGACCUGACACAACUCUAAGCAUAGCAGGCAUAGCAAGGUAGGAACAACACAUACAUAUGGCUCAAUCAACUCCUACACAUGCUAGUGGGUUUCAUCUAGUUACUGUGGCAAUGACAGGUCAUGCAGAGGAAAUGGGUUCAACUACCGCAGCACACAGCAGUUUGAAUCGCGUUGUCUUAAUGCAGUAAAAGAGAGCAGGAGCGAGAACAUGGGAUUGUAUCGAUAUGAUCAAAUGGUUGGUUGCUUGCCUGAUGGUUCAUUGCACUGAUACGAUUCUUCGUUAGGGUAAUCACGGUACUCCUCGGGGACAGAUCCUGUCGCAAAGGAUAACGAUACACAGGCAUCACCAAACAAUGUGCAACAAUAUGAUGCAUGCAUGAAACAUGGCAAUAUGAGUGUGUUGGGCUAAUGCAACUAAAGCCAGUAGGGUUUGAGCAAAUUUGAAUCAAAGAUUCAAAUUUCAAAUUCAAAUAUGGCCUUUUAAAGUGCCUUUCCUUGUUCUGAUUAAAACAUCAAUUUAACUUGUUUGGUCAUGCAUGAAAAUAGUACAGAUGGAUAGAUUGGAUUUUUCUGAUCAUUUUUCAUAUAUAAUUUGUCCAAUUUGGAGUUACAGAAUAAAAGUUAUGAAUUUUUGAAGUUUAAAUAAUAUUCUAAAUUUCCUGAUUUAAUUUAAAUCCAGAAAUAUCAUUUACUGCGUCAGCCUGACAUCACAGUGACAUCAGCAGGUCAACGGGGCUGGCUCGGGUCAAACCUGACAUGUGGGGUCCACACGUCAGUGUCACAGGGGCUAAUCCCGCGUUGACCCCGGGCUGGUUAGCUUUGACUAAGCCCUGGGCCCACUUGUCAGCGUCUGUAGGUGGUGGUUUAGUGGCUAAUUAACUAGGCCAUGUCAGCUCGCCGGAGUUCUGGCCGGCGGCGACCAACAGUGCGGCGGCGAUAGUGGUUUUGGUCGUUUCGGCCACCAAAUGGACCGCGGAGAUCACCGGAGUGAAGCUGAGGACGACCCGCGGCUCUUGGCGGAGUCCGUUGGGGUCGGGGUGGCCGGAGUUGACGGCGGUGAGCUCGGCUGCGGCCGCCGGGGUUCGGUCGUGCACGGGAGUGGUGCUGGAGCUCGAAGUCGAGCAAAGUGAGGCGCUAGGGAUGCUCUACUGGGUUCUGUGAACGCGUUGGACUCGCCGGGGUGACCAAAUGGUCACCGGAGCUGCGUCGACGGCGAGCUCGGCGACGGCGGAGGUUCGGCCGUGGUGGAGAUGAAGCUACGAUGAGGGAACGAGGGGGAGAAGAGGGGGAAACGGUGGCGUAGCUCACCGCGGUUGCAGUGGGCGUCGAAGCGGGCUCGGGGACGCGCUGGAGACGGCGAAUUCGUCGGCGACGGUGGUCGGAGCCCGAAGAGGGGAACGGCGACGUGGCGGCGAUGCAGGGCUUCCGGGGACUCGUGGAGCGGUGGGGAGGAAGAGGGAGUCGAGGCGGAGCUCCUGAGCUGGUCGGGGGAGCGAGGGGUGGUCGGAGACAGUGGCUACGGCGAACGGUGGCGACGGUGUGCUUCGGCCGAGAGCGAGAGAGAGCGAGGGAGAAACGGGGGAGAGUGAGCGAGAGCAGGGGGGAUCGGGACGGGCUGCGGACGUCGUCCACGCGGCCAGGAGGGCGUCGGCAAGCAGGAGGUGGCCGCGCGGCCGCGCGCGCGCGAGCACGCAGCAGCUUCGGGGCGUGGGGAGGAAGACGACGGGGAGUACAGUGUUGGGCUGGGUCGGCUGUUAGCUGGGCCGGCCAGCUGGCUGGGCCGCACAGGUAAGUCUUUCCCCUUUCUUUCUGUUUUCUGUUUUAUUUAAUAUAUCUGCAACUUUGUUGAAUUAAUUAAAAUACCUAGGCAACUCCAAAAUUCACCAAACUACUCCUGGUCCAUAGUUGGAUUAUUUCCAACAUGAAACAUUUUAGUUUGGAGAUAUUUGAGCAUUUAAAUAUUUUAUAUUAUUUUAAAUGCCCAAAUUCAAAUAUCUAUGAUUUAAUUCAAAGACCCUAUGAUGGCCUAGAAAAAUGUGCACCACUUUUGUCAGAGGUUCUGAACCAACGCUAAAAUGAUGGACAUUUUAGAAGGGCAUUUCAGGUUCAUUGAAAAAUUAUUUUAGUAACCCUAGUUGGUUUCAGAGGGGACUGGGGGUUCUGUCAUCCCCAUUUCAAGUUUCUGAUGAAAAAGUAAACAUGAUGCAACACUCUAAUGCAUGACUAGCUAGGGUGUGACAACUCACCCCCACUCAAAAGAAUCUCGUCCCGAGAUUUGGGUUCCUCCGAGAAGAAGGCGGGAUAUUCGAGUCGAAGAUGAUCCUCCCUUUCCCAAGUUGCUUCAUCCUCAGAAUGGUGCGACCAUUGAACCUUGAGAAACUUGAUAUUAUGACGUCGCGUGGUACGUUCGGCUUGAUCAAGGAUACGAAUGGGGUACUCUCGAUAUGUAAGAUUAUCUUGGAGAUCAAGCGUUUCGUGGUCCACUUCACGGAUAGGAUCCGAGAAGCAACGCCUGAGUUGAGAAACGUGGAAGACAUCGUGAACUCUGGAGAGGUGCGGAGGUAGUUCCAAUUGGUAGGCAACUUCUCCUCGUUUGGCAAGAAUGCGAAAAGGUCCAAUGUAACGAGGAGCCAAUUUGCCUUUGAUACCGAAACGAUGGGUUCCCUUCAGAGGGGUGACCCGAAGGUAAGCUUUCUCGUCAACCUCGAAAGUCAUAGCCUUAUGUUUUCGGUCAUAUUGACUCUUUUGACGGGAUUGGGCUGUUUUCAACUUUUCACGAACGAUACGAACUUGUUCUUCUGCUUCCUGAAUCAUAUCCGGGCCAAAGAAUUGUCUUUCCCCGGUUUCUGACCAGUUAAGGGGUGUUCGACAUCGUCGUCCAUAGAGAACUUCAAAAGGGGCUUUACCCAAGCUAGAUUGAUAGCUGUUGUUGUAAGCGAAUUCGGCAAAUGGAAGGCACUUCUCCCAGUCCAUUCCGAAAGAGAUAACGGAGGCUCGAAGCAUGUCUUCUAGAAUCUGAUUGACGCGUUCCACUUGACCACUUGACUGAGGGUGGAAAGCGGUGCUAAAAGAGAGACGAGUUCCCAUAGCAUUUUGGAAACUUUCCCAAAAUCGAGAGGUGAAAAGACUUCCUCGAUCCGAAUUGAUUUCCAAAGGAACACCAUGGAGAGACACUAUCCGGGAGAUGUAUAAGUCUGCCAGCUGACUAGCGGUUAUACUCUCACGAACAGGUAGGAAAUGAGCUGCUUUGGAAAGACGAUCGACCACGACGAAAAUAGCAUUAUUCCCUCUCUUGGUCCUGGGAAAACCGGUAAUGAAAUCCAUACCAAUUUUAUCCCAUUUCCAUUCAGGAAUAGCUAAGGGUUGAAGGGUGCCAGCAGGUCGUUGAUGCUCUGCUUUUACACGACGACAGACGUCGCAAUUUGCAAUAUACUGAGCAAUUUCUCUCUUCAUCCUAGUCCACCAGAACCUCUGGCGUAGGUCCUGAUACAUCUUAGUACUACCGGGAUGAAUGGUGAGAGGAGAUUCAUGGGCCUCCUUAAGGAUCAACUGCCGCAGAUGCUGGUUCUUGGGAACCACUAGACGAUUCUCAAAGUACACAACACCAUGAUCAUUUGUGGAGAAACAACUAGCACCUCCGCUAGCAAUGUUCUCCUUGAUUUUGGAUAUUCCCUUAUCUCGCUUUUGGGCAGCGAUGAUUUGAUCCGUAAGAGUAGGUUUUGCCACCAAGGUGGAAAGAAAACCUUGAGGUACAAUGUGAAGGUUAAGCUUCCGAAAUUCCUCAUGGAGAAGCGGUUGACUUUGUUGUAACAUCAGAUUGUUACAAUAAGAUUUACGACUUAGCGCAUCAGCCAUGACGUUGGCUUUCCCUGGGGUAUAGGUUAUUCCUAAAUCGAAGUCUGUAAUCAAUUCAACCCAACGUCUCUGCCUGAGAUUCAAAUCCGGUUGGGUGAAAAUGUACUUCAGACUUUGGUGAUCAGUGAAUAUUUCGCAACGAUUACCGAGGAGGUAAUGUCGCCAGGUCUUAAGUGCAUAGACUACGGCUGCAAGCUCUAGAUCAUGAGUAGGAUAAUUCUCCUCAUGUGGGUGCAAUUGCCGUGAAGCGUAAGCAAUUACGUGUCGAUCUUGCAUAAGGAUGCAACCUAGUCCUUGUCGCGAGGCGUCGCAGUAGAUAACAAAGUCCUUGGAGAAGUCUGGCGGUACCAGCACAGGAGCAGAAGUCAGGCGUCUUUUCAGUUCCUGAAAACUGUGCUCACAUUGUGGAGUCCAUUCGAACUUCUUAUCUUUCUUGAGGAGUUCGGUUAGGGGUUUAGCAACUUUGGAGAAGUUCUCGACAAAGCGACGACAAUAGCUCGCUAAGCCUAGAAAACUCCGAACUUGCUUGACCGAUUCAGGUGGAGUCCAAUUAAGGACGGCUUGAACUCGCUCAGGGUUAACAGCAAUACCUUUACCAGAUAUUACAUGACCCAGAUAGGUCACUUCUGGCAACCAGAAUUCACAUUUUGAAAAUUUGGCAUAAAGGCGAUGCUCACGAAGUUUCUGCAACACUAGCCUUAGAUGUUCGGCAUGUUCUUCCUCGUUCUUGGAGUAGAUGAGUAUAUCAUCGAGAUAAACUACGACGAACUUAUCCAAAUACUCCAUGAAGAUUGAGUUCAUUAACCGAGAAAAGGUGGCUGGAGCGUUGGUUAAACCGAAGGACAUGACGGUGUACUCGUAUUGGCCAUAACGAGUAACAAAGGCUGUUUUAGGAAUGUCCCCGUUUCUGAUUUUGAUUUGAUGGUAGCCCAACCUCAAAUCCAUCUUAGAGAAGACUGAAGAUCCAGCGAGCUGAUCAUACAGGUCGUUGAUCCUGGGAAGUGGAUAUUUGUUCUUGAUCGUGACCAAAUUGACAGGUCGGUAAUCUACAACCAUCCGGUCCGUACCAUCCUUCUUCUUAACGAAUAGGACGGGGCAAGCCCACGGAGAUGAACUAGGGCGGAUGAAACCCUUUUUCAAGAACUCAUCGAGUUGUUUCUUAAGCUCGGCUAGUUCUAGGGGUGCCAUCUUAUAAGGCCUUCUAGCAAUCGGAACGGUUCCGGGGAUGAGGUCUAUUACAAACUCAACAUCCCUGUCAGGUGGAACCCCUGGCAAUUCUUCUGGAAAGACAUCCGGAAAGUCACGGACUACCGGAACGUCCUCAAGGUCUGGCAAAGGGUUGGCGUUAAGAGAAUAUAGUUGUCGCUUGGCUAUUCGAGUCAAGACAUUGACUAUCUUCCCCGAAGGGUGGGUGAGUUGAACAGUCCUAGAGAAGCAAUCAAUUUGGGCAUGAUGCGCUGACAUCCAGUCCAUACCCAGAAUGAUAUUAAUAUCUGAAGAUUUAAGGGCUAUCAAAGACGCAAGGAAAACAAGUCUGUCGACUUGGAUCUCAUUUCCAUAACUUACCCUAGAGGUCUGCCAUCUAGACCCAGGGGUAGAGAUUUCCAUAGUGGAUGGCAAGUCACAGAAUGCAACGUUAUGCAAACGAGCAUAAUUUUCAGAUAUAAAAGAAUGAGAGGCUCCUGUAUCGAAAAGAACAGAUGCCGGGUGGCAAUUAACAAGAAGCGUACCGAGAACGACGUUGGGGUCCUCUUGAGCUUCUUCGGCAGAGACACAGUUGACAUGGCCACGUGAAGCGGUGACCGGUUUAGCAUGGAACACCUUCCCUGUCGGCUUGCCACGGCCAAUAGCCUUAGCAGAUUGAUUGGGGUUGGUCUGGGGACACUCACGCAUAUAGUGACCAGAUUCCCCACACUUGAAACAAGUCACGGAACUGGUACGUGGAGGAGCAUUAUUGGUUGGACCCCCAUAGGGCUUAGCUGGUGCAGACUGUUGAACAGGGCGAGGCGCCUGGAAAGAUGGCCUCGGUGUGAACCUGGGUGGCAGGGCGGUGUUGGGUACCCACACGCGGCGCUUCUGAGGACCGGCACCGGAUGAGGAACCCGUGUCACGUCCAUGCUUGCGUGUUGCGUCAUAGUCAGUCUGACCAGUUUCAGCACUGAUGGCUUUGUUGACAAGUUUCGAAAAGGAUGUGCACUCAUGCAGACGGAGGUCGCGGCGAAGCUCAGGACUAAGGCCCUUACGGAACCUUGCUUGCUUCUUGGCGUCAGUAGAAACUUCCUCGGUUGCAUAUCGUGCAAGAUUACCAAACUCCCUGCUAUAGACAUCCACAGAGAGUCGGCCUUGGGUGAAAUUGCAAAAUUCUUCACGCUUACGGUCCAUGAGACCCUCCGGAAUGUGAUGUUCUCGGAAAGCCUCGCUGAACUCAGCCCAAGUAGUGACAUGGUCCGCUGGGCGCAUGGUUCCAUAAUUCUCCCACCAUAGACUGGCGGGGCCUUCAAGAUGAUAUGCAGCAAAGGUGACCUUGUCAGCCUCAGCUACCAGCGCGGAACGCAGCUUGUGAGAGAUACUGCGAAGCCAGUCAUCAGCGUCGAGAGGCUCGACGGAGUGGUGGAACAUGGGUGGAUGCAAUUUGAUAAAAUCACUGAGUGACACCACGUUAGCCCUCUGAUGGUGUGCUGUAUUCUGUUCAAUACGCUCCAACAAACGGUUUGUCUCCCGCUUGUUUCUCUCAGCUUCCAUCAUCACCUCGGCUAGUGAAGGAGGUUGAGGCAGAUGUUCAUUUCUGGCUUCACUGCCUUCGGCCUGCUCUUGGGAAGCAGGGUUGGCGCGCGUGUUGACCAUCCUAGGUAAACAAGACAAUGAUUUAGUCAGAAUGAUGAGAUUCCGACAUGGGAUACAUAAUGUAAGAAAUAACUCGGAAUGCAAGAUGAUCAUCCGUAUGACAUGGUGGAUACAGAAACUGCUUCUUUAUUCCAUCGUCAUACACACCAUACAAGGUUUAGUACAAGACCAAACAAAGUACUAUUACGGUGAGAAAAGGAUUACAUCUCAUCGGAGGCAUUCCAAGCUCCUAUACAUUAUUUUUCUACAACUCCGGAAAGAGUACAAACUAGGUCAUAACCCACGAGUCACGCGGGACGAUAGAUGACACAGCUAGUGCGAACUAGUGAUGCUACCCCUAACUCAGACCGAUCCGUAGUAGUCCUCAUAAAAGUCACCUCCAUAGCCCGGAAGCUCAACAUGUUCAUCCGGAAACAGACGAUCUCGCGGAGCUUGUGGACCAUAGGGGCUAGGAUGAGGCCUUGGACCAACAAACGGUGGCCUGCGGGGACCGCGAGGUGGGGUGAUGCCUCCUACAUCACGCCAAACCAUCACGUCUGGCAGAGCAGAUCUCACAGGAUAGAGAUCGCGCAUAUCUGAAAAUCCAGCUUGCACCGCCGGUGCGAACCGAGUCAAAGUGGCCCAGUGGUCAGCACGGGUAUUGAAGAGCUCCAACCUUAAGGCCCGAUUUUCACGGUCCUUAUCCUCGAGCAUCUCAGCUGUGGUGCGAGUCCGUGAAUCCUCCUGAGUGGAGUCAGCAUAGAUAGCCUGGAGAUACCCUUGUGCUCCCGGAAGUGAUCCUGGCAUAUACCGGAAGUCAGAGUCCCGAAAUAGACCAGAUCUGACUCGCAUAAUGGUCAUCAUAGAGUAGGCGGCAUCCUGCACAGCCAUCUCGAUAGUAACCCCGAGUCCAUAGGAGCAGUGAAGAGGCUCAGUGGAUCCAGGAUAAGAUGGAAAUAUCCUGACAGUGCAGAGAUACUGGCUUUGGUUGAAGUCUCGGAAUUGCUCUUCGACCGUGUACUCAGGAUACCAGCGGUAUCCAGCCUCAGUCAUUACCCUGACCAACUUAGCAGUAUGGCCGGGUACAUCUAGGCAUCGAGUCAGGCGAACCACUUGAUUGAGGUCGCGAGUGGCCAUCUGAAAGCAUAAUCAUAAUGCAAAGGCAUUAGAAUUUCUAGCAAAAUUUCGGCAGCAUAACAGCUGUAAAUGCUCAAAAAGGAUAUUGAGACAUUUGACAAAGGAUUUCGUACACACUCAACAUCAUCAUAUCAAGUCUUGAAACCAUUCCUACAACAUAAUGUGGUAGUAGAACUGAACUAGGCUGAUAACCAUCAAACUUAUAAGGUACUACUGAUUAGUAACACGUGAUCCUGAUAGAGAGAACAGAUCCUAAUUCCUUAACCCCCGGUGGAAUAAUGGACUGACUCAGAUCAGAAAGUCAUAAGGUAUAAGGAGUAAAAAGAGCCUUACGUUCCAACCCACAAACAAUUCCCCUACAUAUAACUAAAGAAUUUCUAGACUCAACAUCGACCAGUUUGGCUUGGAGAACCUACAGGCAGUCCGGCUCUGAUGCCAACGCUGUCAGGACCCCGACUCGAUGUCACAUCGAUCUAGCUGGUAACACCUCAUAUCACUUUGCGGCCUCACGCAUGGUAUCCCCACGGGUGUCGUCUUACCUUUUUCCCGGGACCGUUUGCGCCUUUUGGCUCACGUAUAUGAUAGUGUCGCUAGCAUCCAUAUGAUAAAGAGCCCGGGCUGACAUGACUAGUCGUAAACCCAAAGUGGCACAGACUUACAGGGACAGGCAUCCAUGACCCAGCUUCGAACGUGUCGGUCAUCAGCAAGUGGGUCCGGGCUGUAGCACUGGGCUAGCAGGACUCCGGUAAACCGGGCUGUAGCGGGCUAACAGGACUCCGGUACUCAAAGCGUGACAUUUCCCCGAAGGGACAGACACAGGAACGAAGAAGGACACAUGCCGGCCAGCCUAAGUGUUCCAGAGCAGUAGCAAGCUACCAUGGCUCAGCGGUAACACUAGGAGACAUUUCCCGAUAAGAGAGGCUACUAAAGAUAAACAACUAGAUAGUCAGAUCCCACACAUACCAAGCAUUUCAAUCAUACACACAGUAUGCUCGAUAUGUGUAAAUACAACGAAGCAUCACAACAUGACUCUACGACACAAGUACUUUAUUUAAGGCUCAGGGAGCCAUACAUAAUAUACACACAAAGUUACGGGUCUCACGACCCAACAUACAAGUCAUACAAUCAUACAAGCCAACAGCGGAAGUAACUUGUCUGAGUACAGACAACUAGUAAAAUAAAAGAGGCUUGGAAAGCCUGGCUAUACUAUGUGGUCCUUCACAAGCUCAGGGUCACCACCUGGGUCUUUAGCCUACUCGUUGAUGUCAACGUCUACAUAGAACCCAUCAGAAGGGGUUGCAGCGUCUUCUGUAAACAUGUAGAUUAUAGCAACAUGAGUACAAAGGUACUCAGCAAGACUUACAUCAGAUCCUACAUACAUGCAUAGUAUCAAGAAGGGUUGGUGGAGUUAUUGCAGCAAGCCAGCUUUGACUCUUGGCUAGACUAUCCUACGAUACUCCAACUUGAAAUAGUUUUGCGCACACGAGUCCACUACUCACCACUUCAAUACACUACCGAGGAUCCACCUCCGUCUUCCUACGGAAGAGCCAUCCUCGGCACUCACACUUAUCCUGAGGCUUUUAGUAGUUUCCAUUUACUUGUCUAUGAACUGUAUAGGCAACCAAGUAGUCCUUUACCGCGGACGCGGCUAUUCGAAUAGAUCAUGUUAACCCUGCAGGGGUGUACUUCCUCAUACAUGUUUCCACCACUUAGCGUCUGCACACGACAUGUGCUCGGCAGACUUCAAGCGAAAGCCGACGUGGGUGUAGACCACGACCUACCUAAACACUUAAGCCUCUAGUCCAGGUUUAUCGCCUAUUCAGGUUCCAUCCGCAGGGAGUCCGGCCGAGGUUUCCCAUACGGCCCCGAACGAUGUGAACAGGGUUCCCGAGAUACCUAACGGGUAUUCGGUACACCCGGCCACGUACCUACCGCAUCACAGCCCACCCCUACGGUCAGCGCUGUCCACGGCCUCUAGUAGGCUACAAACACCAGAAACUACUUGCAACUCCUGGACAGAGAGCUAGGGUGAUUAAGAAGUCGAGCGGGGUCAUAUUUCAGGGCCCAAUGCAUGGUAGUAGCUGUAUCUUAAAUCACACAUACAGAUCUCAGUGCCUAAGGUCGGCUUCAAUGAAACAACCCACCAUGUACUCCUACAUGGCCUCUCAUCGAUACCUUUACCAAAUCGUGUUCACCACACCACUCUUAUUACCGACAUAAUCAUUUCACUCUAGCCCAUCACCCAGAUGAACCAGACCUGACACAACUCUAAGCAUAGCCGGCAUAGCAAGGUAGGAACAACACAUACAUAUGGCUCAAUCAACUCCUACACAUGCUAGUGGGUUUCAUCUAGUUACUGUGGCAAUGACAGGUCAUGCAGAGGAAAUGGGUUCAACUACCGCAGCACACAGCAGUUUGAAUCGCGUUGUCUUAAUGCAGUAAAAGAGAGCAGGAGCGAGAACAUGGGAUUGUAUCGAUAUGAUCAAAUGGUUGGUUGCUUGCCUGAUGGUUCGUUGCACGAAUACGAUUCUUCGUUAGGGUAAUCACGGUACUCCUCGGGGACAGAUCCUGUCGCAAAGGAUAACGAUACACAGGCAUCACCAAACAAUGUGCAACAAUAUGAUGCAUGCAUGAAACAUGGCAAUAUGAGUGUGUUGGGCUAAUGCAACUAAAGCCAGUAGGGUUUGAGCAAAUUUGAAUCAAAGAUUCAAAUUUCAAAUUCAAAUAUGGCCUUUUAAAGUGCCUUUCCUUGUUCUGAUUAAAACAUCAAUUUAACUUGUUUGGUCAUGCAUGAAAAUAGUACAGAUGGAUAGAUUGGAUUUUUCUGAUCAUUUUUCAUAUAUAAUUUGUCCAAUUUGGAGUUACAGAAUAAAAGUUAUGAAUUUUUGAAGUUUAAAUAAUAUUCUGAAUUUCCUGAUUUAAUUUAAAUCCAGAAAUAUCAUUUACUGCGUCAGCCUGACAUCACAGUGACAUCAGCAGGUCAACGGGGCUGGCUCGGGUCAAACCUGACAUGUGGGGUCCACACGUCAGUGUCACAGGGGCUAAUCCCGCGUUGACCCCGGGCUGGUUAGCUUUGACUAAGCCCUGGGCCCACUUGUCAGCGUCUGUAGGUGGUGGUUUAGUGGCUAAUUAACUAGGCCACGUCAGCUCGCCGGAGUUCUGGCCGGCGGCGACCAACAGUGCGGCGGCGAUAGUGGUUUUGGUCGUUUCGGCCACCAAAUGGACCGCGGAGAUCACCGGAGUGAAGCUGAGGACGACCCGCGGCUCUUGGCGGAGUCCGUUGGGGUCGGGGUGGCCGGAGUUGACGGCGGUGAGCUCGGCUGCGGCCGCCGGGGUUCGGUCGUGCACGGGAGUGGUGCUGGAGCUCGAAGUCGAGCAAAGUGAGGCGCUAGGGAUGCUCUACUGGGUUCUGUGAACGCGUUGGACUCGCCGGGGUGACCAAAUGGUCACCGGAGCUGCGUCGACGGCGAGCUCGGCGACGGCGGAGGUUCGGCCGUGGUGGAGAUGAAGCUACGAUGAGGGAACGAGGGGGAGAAGAGGGGGAAACGGUGGCGUAGCUCACCGCGGUUGCAGUGGGCGUCGAAGCGGGCUCGGGGACGCGCUGGAGACGGCGAAUUCGUCGGCGACGGUGGCGGAGCCCGAAGAGGGGAACGGCGACGUGGCGGCGAUGCAGGGCUUCCGGGGACUCGUGGAGCGGUGGGGAGGAAGAGGGAGUCGAGGCGGAGCUCCUGAGCUGGUCGGGGGAGCGAGGGGUGGUCGGAGACAGUGGCUACGGCGAACGGCGGCGACGGUGUGCUUCGGCCGAGAGCGAGAGAGAGCGAGGGAGAAACGGGGGAGAGUGAGCGAGAGCAGGGGGGAUCGGGACGGGCUGCGGACGUCGUCCACGCGGCCAGGAGGGCGUCGGCAAGCAGGAGGUGGCCGCGCGGCCGCGCGCGCGCGAGCACGCAGCAGCUUCGGGGCGUGGGGAGGAAGACGACGGGGAGCUACAGUGUUGGGCUGGGUCGGCUGUUAGCUGGGCCGGCCAGCUGGCUGGGCCGCACAGGUAAGUCUUUCCCCUUUCUUUCUGUUUUCUGUUUUAUUUAAUAUAUCUGCAACUUUGUUGAAUUAAUUAAAAUACCUAGGCAACUCCAAAAUUCACCAAACUACUCCUGGUCCAUAGUUGGAUUAUUUCCAACAUGAAACAUUUUAGUUUGGAGAUAUUUGAGCAUUUAAAUAUUUUAUAUUAUUUUAAAUGCCCAAAUUCAAAUAUCUAUGAUUUAAUUCAAAGACCCUAUGAUGGCCUAGAAAAAUGUGCACCACUUUUGUCAGAGGUUCUGAACCAAGGCUAAAAUGAUGGACAUUUUAGAAGGGCAUUUCAGGUUCAUUGAAAAAUUAUUUUAGUAACCCUAGUUGGUUUCAGAGGGGACUGGGGGUUCUGUCAUCCCCAUUUCAAGUUUCUGAUGAAAAAGUAAACAUGAUGCAACACUCUAAUGCAUGACUAGCUAGGGUGUGACAGGCCCGAUUGAUGUGCUUGAAGUCAAUACACAUUCGAAGUGAUUUAUCUUUCUUGGGAACCAUAACGACAUUGGCAAGACACUCGGAGUGGUAUAUCUCGCGGAUGAACUCAGCGGCCAGAAGCCGAGCCACCUCCUCGCCAAUUGCCUUUCUCUUCUCCACGGCGGACCGACGGAGAUGCUCCUUAACGGGUUUUGCCUUUGGGUCGACUCGCAAACGGUUCUCAGCCAGUCCCCUGGGUACACCUGGCAUGUUAGAUGGCUUCCAUGUAAAGAUGUCCCAGUUCUCACGGAGGAACUGGAUGAGCGCUUCUUCCUAUUUGUUGUCGAGUGUUGUUGAGAUAUGGGUCGGAGCAGCAGUCGGUCGGGUGAACGUGGGCUGGCUUGGUCUCGUCGGCCGACUGAAAUGCGGACUUCGAGGCAGGCCUCUUGUCACGUAGCAAAUCACUCAGAUAUGCAGUUUUCUGGUACUCUUGAAACUCUACUGCCGCCAUCUGCUCAUCUGCUAUCUUUGCUGUAAGGGCAUAUUUAUCCCCAAGUGGUUUUGGUGAUUGAUGACAAUGCUUUUGCGGACUAAUAGUGUGCGUUAAGUUCUUUCAGAGAUUCAUCCAUUGGCACGAGAUGAUUUCCUCCCCUUGGUGUUUUAUUCAAGACGGUGUAGCUCCUUCGCUUCAUUGUUGGUGGACUAGUUUCGUAGGAGUCACCGUACUAUCAAGAGGGGAUCUGCUUUGGUAAGACUAGGGUGGAAUCAACACGUACACAUCCCUUUCACACCCUUCGUCUUCCUUUCGCACCUUUGGAGCUGCCCCCUUCUCUUCCGUACCUGCUUCGUCUUGUGCCAGCGGUAGUACCGCGGUCUACAGCGGUAGUACCGCCGAAGCCCUCCAGCGGUAGUACCGCUCCACGAAGCGGUAGUACCGCUCUCAGCGGUAGUACCGCUCCGCAGGGCGGUAGUACCGCUUGCGGGCUUCGGCCGUAGUACCGCAGCUAUUCCGCGCUACUACCGCCUCGAUUCGAGACUGGUGUUUUCUCGUGUCGGGUUUUGCGGCACUAGAAGCAGUAGUAGAAGCGGUAGUACCGCUCCAAGCGGUAGUACCGCUCCUACUCCCGCGGUAGUACCGCUCUGGUGCCAGUGGCCUGUCUUCCUCGCCAGCGCGGUAGUAUCGCUGGGUAGGGAGCGGUAGUACCGCUCUCAGCGGUAGUACUGCCCUGCCCCAGCGGUAGUACCACUCUGUGCGGAGAUGUACAGUGAGGUAACGGUUGGAAUUGUUCCCCCACUAUAUAAAGGUGUCUUCUUCCUCCAAGUUGACUUACCUCUUUCCCUCAAAGCUCCAUUGUUGCUCCAAGCUCCAUUUUCACCUGAUCUCUCUCCCUAGCCAAUCAAACUUGUUGAUUUGCUCGGGAUUGGUUGAGAAGGCCCAGAUCUACACUUCCACCAAGAGAAAUUUGAUUCCCCCCACUUAUCCCGAGCGGAUCUUGUUACUCUUGGGUGUUGAGCACCCUAGACGGUUGAGGUCACCUCGAAGCCAUACUCCAUUGUGGUGAAGCUUCAUGGUGUUGUUGGGAGCCUCCAAUUGUUGUGGAGAUUGCCCCAACCUUGUUUGUAAAGGUUCGGUCGCCACCUUCAAGGGCACCAAAUAGUGGAAUCACGGCAUCUCGCAUUGUGUGAGGGCGUGAGGAGAAUACGGUGGCCCUAGUGGCUUCUUGGGGAGCAUUGUGCCUCCACACCGCUCUAACAGAGACGUACUUCCCCUUAAAAGGAAGGAACUCCGGUAACACAUCCUCGUCUCCACCGGCUCCACUCUUGGUUAUUUCGUGCUUUACUUUUGCAAGCCUACUUAUUUUACAUCCUUUGCUUGCUUGUGUGCUAGUUGUUAUUGCAUCAUAUAGGUUGCUCACUUAGUUGCACAUCUAGACAACCUUUUUGUUGCAAAGUUCAAUUUGGUAAAGAAAAGCUUAAAAAUUGUUAGUUGCCUAUUCACCCCCCCCCCUCUAGUCAACCAUAUCGAUCCUUUCAAUUGGUAUCAGAGCCUCGUCUCUUUAUUAAGGACUUUGUCAUCCGAAGAGUAUGGUUGACACCAACGACGGUGCGGAGGAACACUCCGGUGUGGAUCCCAUCUCGUCUUCGGCCGAAGGGGGAACCUCGGUCUCACGUGAGGAAUUCAAUGUGGCUUUAGACACAUUGAAAACCUCCAUGACGGCCGAGGUUAAAAGCAUGUUUACUGAAUUUCUAGAAGGACUCAAACUAUCUACCUCGCCGAUGAAAGUGGGUGAUCCCACUAACAAGGUGACGGAUGCUACCUCCGACAAGGGGGAAGCUAACAAUGAAAAGAGUCCUUCUACUAGUGGUAGAAAUGGCACCGGCAUCUUUGCCCAUGUGGAACCUCCUAUUUAUAGAGGACCGAUUCCCUCCACUCAUUUAAAUCAUGCCGGUCCUCCUCCUAAAUAUGAGAAGCAUGAAGAUUUUGACUCUUGGGUUUAUCGCUUCAAGUGUCAUUUAAAACAUGUGAACACUAACCUUUGGAGAAUCAUCGAAGAAGGUUUUUAUCCUCAUGACCCAAGCAACUUCACCCCUAGAAGACGUGGACAAUCAAUUCAAUGAGAGUGCUCUCUUCAUCAUCCAAGAUGCCAUCCUUCCCGAAGAUCUUCCUCAUCUUCGACCUCAUGUCAUGGCUAAAGAAGCAUGGAAAUGUGUCGAGGGUCUCUAUCGAGGAAGUGCUAGCAUUCAACGCUCCAACUAUGAAGUGGUGCAAGAUGAAGCCGAUGAGUUUGCAAUGAAAGAAGAUGAAGAACCUCGUGAGCUCUUUUGAAGAGUGACCAAACUCGCAGUCGCACUCCGAGAUCAUGGAAGAAAGGACACGGAUGACAAUUGGAUCAAGCAAAAGUUCCUCAAGGCCAUGAUGCCCUACAACAAGGCCAUGUCCUCCGUCAUUCGUCAAAGACCGGACUUCCACUCCAUGACCUCAAGUGAAGUGUUGGAUGAGUUCGUUGCAAUGAGCAUCUUAGACAAGACCGCCGACAAUGCGGUGCUCCGUUCUCAAAGGGCAAAGAAGCCCAACCUUGCUUUGAAGGCCAAGGUUAUUAUGGAAGAAGAGGAAGAAGUGGAAGAUGAGGAAAGCAACCCUGAAGACACCAAAUUUGAUUACCAUGAGCACAUGGCCCUUGCUUCAAGACAAUUUUGGAGCAAGAAGAAUUCAAGACCCAACUUCAACAAGAACAACUCAAGUGGCGUCAAGGGCAAGCAACAAGUUAGAACUUGCUUCAACUGUGGCAAUGCGAGCCAUUUCGUUGCGGAUUGUCCUUACGAGAAGCGGGAAGACAAUGGUGGCAAGUUCAUCCGAAAAGACAAAGCCAAGUCCUUCCCCAACAAGAACAACUUCGCCAAGAAGACUCCCACUCGUGGGUUGGUGGUUCAAGAAGAAUACCAAGAGGAUGACGAUGAUGAUGAAAAUGAAGAAGCAAUGGCCAUGGCUUCCGCUGCCAUUGCUACUACUCCCCAGGUGUCUCUCUUUGAUUCACCCAACGAAAACAUCACCGCCAAGUGCCUCAUGGCUAAAGCUUCAAACAAGGUAACCCCCAACAUUAAAACCACCAUCAUUACUAAUCCCUCCAUGGAGGAGUGCAUUGAUGAACAUGAUGGGUCUAAUGAAGAAGUGAAUGAGUUUGAGUCUUUUAUGAGUAAGCUCAAGGGCAAGUCCAAGAAGCAUUUUGUUGCUCUCUUGGAACAACUUGGUGAGGCCAAUGACAUGAUCGAGGCUCACGAAGAAACCAUCUCUAAGAUGGAAGGUCAUAGUCGUGACUAUGCCGAUGAGAUAUCGGAUCUCUCUAAUGCUCUUAGGAAGAGCGUGUGCAUCGUUUGACUUUUGAGGAGUCACACAACGAUGACCAUGCUAAGUUAAAGAAAGAUCUUGAUCAUGCUCUUGUCGUGUCUUGUGUGCUAACCUCCGAGAAGGCUAAACUUGGGGUUGAUCAUGCUAGACUCAAAGAGGAGUUUGAGUUACUUGACAAGGCCCACAAGGUCUUGAAGGGUACUCAUGCUAAUAUCAAAGAGUCUCAUGCUCAACUCCAAGUUAAGCUAAUCAAGGAAAAGGCCACCUUUCCUCAUAUGGUAUUAUUUGAUAAUGCAUGUGCUACUAACCCGUGUUGUGAGCAUGUGCAUCUUGUGGAGGAGAAUGCCAAGUUGAAGGAUCAACUUGAGAAAGGCCUUGUGACUUGCAUUGAAGGUGAGAAGAACCUCAACGACCUUUUGAGCAAUCAAAAGGAAGUUGUGGCCAAGGAAGGAAUUGGGUUUGCACCCAAGUCCAAGAGCAAGAAGAAGAAGAACAACAAGACCAAACGUCCUCUUCCUCUCAAACAAACGUUUGUGAAAGAGGGAGAGGGUGCUCCUAAGGAGAAGAAGGAAAAAGUGAAGGGAGUUGAUGUCCAAAAGGGCAAAAGCAUUUCCUCAAACAAAGCCGGCGACUUUAACCCGUCAUAUGUGUUGUGCCGUGCUAGUGAUGGACAUGUCUUUGCUAAAUUUGUUGGUUCUCCUUAUGAGUACAUUGAAUGGUCUAUUUGGGUUCCCAAGACCCUUGUUACUAACAUCAAAGGACCCAUUACUAAAUGGGUACCUAAAACCAUGCAUUGAUCUCUUGUAGGUGUUUGCUUCCGGUGGGGGGUCAUGGUUGCUUGAUAGUGGAGCAACAAAUCAUAUGACCGGGAGCAAGGACUUGGUGGUGAACGUGCAAGAAAUUCCAUCUAUGCCCACCAAUGUCGAGUGGGGUGACGCAUCACAUUCUAAGGUAUUGGGUCUCGGCAAGGUUGUCAUUUCUCAUGAUCUAACGAUCGAGAAAGUCAUGCUUGUUGAGUCCCUUGCAUACAAUUUGCUUUCCGUUCGUCAACUUGCACUCAUGGGUUUUGCUACAUUCUUUGACAUUGAUACCGUGGCCCUCUUGUGGAGCAAGACUCUUAAAGUAGCCUUUGUUGGGCAUGUCGAGAACGGUCUCUAUGUGAUUAACUUUUCGGAGCGACCCACUAAGACCGCGACAUGCCUAAUGGCUAAAGUUGACGUGGGAUGGCUUUGGCAUCGCCGUUUAUCCCACGUCAAUAUGAGAUAUUUGCAAAGUCUUCUCAAGGGGGACCAUGUCCGUGGACUAACAAAUGUUAGUUUUGCCAAAGAUCGUGCUUGCAGUGCUUGUAUCGAAGGAAAGCUUCAUGAAAAGGCUCACCCUCGAUCAACAAUCAUCUACUCGAAGAGACCCUUGGAGCUCCUUCACAUGGAUCUCUUUGGGCCUCCAUCUUUUGAUAGUCUUGGAGGAACAAAGUAUUGCUUGGUGAUUGUGGAUGACUAUUCAAGAUACACUUGGGUAUACUUCUUCAAGGGGAAGAGUGAGACUCAACAAACCGUCAUCGACUUUGCAAAUGAAGCUCAAAGUCAACAUGAUGCAAAGAUCUUGACAAUAAUAAGUGACAACGGCACCGAGUUCAAGAACUACACCUUGGAUGAGUUUCUCAGUGAUGAGGGGAUCAAGCAUCAAUAUGCUGCACCUUAUACCCCUCAACAAAAUGGUUUAGCGGAGAGGAAGAACAGGACGUUGAUGGAUGCGGCAAGGACCAUGAUGGCGGAGUUCAAGUCUCCAUACAACUUUUGGGCCGAAGCCAUCAACACCGCAUGUCAUGCAUCCAAUCGGCUCUAUCUCCGCAAAGGCUUGAACAAGACCCCUUAUGAGAUUCUCACCAGCAACAAGCCCAACCUCAAGUCCUUCCGGGUGUUCGGUUGUAAGUGUUUCAUUCUCAAGAAAGGUGUUCGUUUGUCUAAAUUUGAGGCUAGAGCUCAUGAGGGCAUAUUUGUUGGUUAUGCUACAAACUCUCAUGCUUACCGUGUUCUCAACAAGUCCACCGGACUCAUUGAGGAAACGUGUAACAUGGAGUUUGAUGAAAAUAACGGCUCCCAAGUGGAGCAAAGUGGUACUUGUGACGUAGGUGAUGAAAUUCCUCCCCAAGCCAUAAGAAGAAUGGGUAUUGGUCAAAUUCUACCCAUUGAGGAACCCCUUGUGGCCGAAGGAGAAGGACAAUGCUCCACUCAAGUGGAGCCAUCACCUCACCAAGACCCACACGCUUCCGAAGAACAAAGUGAAGGCCCUCAACCACGUGAACAAGACCAAGGGCAAGAUCAACCUCAAGAUGGUGGUGAACCUCUAAAUGAUGCCCAAGGUCAAGUUCUCCCCCUCGAGCAAGUUCAAGACCAAGAGCAAGCUCAAGAUCAAGAACAAGCUCAAGACGGCGCUCAAGAUGAUCAAGUCAACCCUCCUCCUUCCACAUCCGAGGAGGAUUUAGAGCGUCGUGCCGCGGAGAUUGCUUCCAAGCUCACCACCCAAGGCCAUCUCAUGGAAAAUGUGGUUGGAAGCCUAAGAAAGGGGGUAAGCACUCGUAGACAAUUAGCAAACUAUUGUGAACAUCACGCAUUUGUCUCUUGUGUUGAACCCCAAAAGGUCUAUGAGGCGCUCGAAGACUCGGAUUGGCUCAAUGCCAUGCAUGAAGAACUCAACAACUUCGAGUACAACAAAGUAUGGAGAUUGGUGCCAAGGCCAUCGGGAGACCAUAACGUCAUUGGGACCAAAUGGAUCUUCAAGAACAAGCAAGAUGCUCAUGGGAACAUCGUUUGCAACAAGGCAAGAUUGGUAGCACAAGGCUACUCCCAAGUCGAGGGUAUCGACUACGGUGAAACCUUUGCUCCCGUUGCUCGUCUUCAAUCCAUACGUUUGUUGAUUGCCUAUGCUUCCCAUCACAACUUUAAGUUGCAACAAAUGGAUGUGAAAAGUGCUUUUCUUAAUGGUCCUAUCAAUGAGUUGGUCUAUGUCAAGCAACCCCCCGGGUUCGUGGACCCCUACUUCCCGGAUCAUGUGUAUCAACUCGAUAAGGCACUCUAUGGCCUUAAACAAGCCCCACGUGCGUGGUAUGACCUAUUGGGGAACAUAGUAAUUUCAAAAAAAUUCCUACGUACACGCAAGAUCAUGGUGAUGGCAUAGCAACGAGAGGGGAGAGUGUUGUCCACGUACCCUCGUAGACCAUAAGCGGAAGCGUUAUGAUAACGCGGUUGAUGUAGUCAUACGUCUUCAUGAUCCGACCGAUCCAAGUACCGAACGUACGGCACCUUCGAGUUCAGCACACUUCAGCUCAAUGACGAUCCCCGGGCUCCGAUCCAGCAAAGCUUCGGGGAUGAGUUUCGUCAGCACGACGGUGUGGUGACGAUGAUGAUGCUCUACCGGCGCAGGGCUUCGCCUAAACUCCGCGAUGAUAUGACCAAGGUGGAAUAUGGUGGAGGGGGGGCACCGCACAUAGCUAAGGAACGAUCCGUAGAUCAACUUGUGUUGUUGUGCCUUGAGGUGCCCCCCUGCCCCCGUAUAUAAAGGAGCAAGGGGGGAGGAGGCCGGCCCUAGGAGGGGGCGCGCCAAGGGGAGUCCUACUCCCAUCGGGAGUAGGACUCCCUCCUUCCUUGUUGGAGUAGGAGAAGGGGGAAAGAGGGGGAGAGGAGGAAGGAAAAGGGGGCCGCACCCCUUGUCCAAUUCGGAUCAGAGGGGGGCUGCGCACCUCCUUCCUUUCGGCCUCUUUCCUCUAUUCCCGUAUGGCCAAAUAAGGCCCAUAUACUCCCCGGCGAAUUCCCGUAACUCUCUGGUACUCCGAAAAAUACCCGAAUCACUCGGAACCUUUCCGAACUCCGAAUAUAGUCGUCCAAUAUAUCGAUCUUUACGUCUCGACCAUUUCGAGACUUCUCGUCAUGUCCCUGAUCUCAUCUGGGACUCCUAACUCCUUCGGUACAUCAUAACUCAUAAACUCAUAAUAUAACUGUCAUCGAAACCUUAAGCGUGUGGACCCUACGGGUUCGAGAACUAUGUAGACAUGACCUAGAACUAUUCUCGGUCAAUAACCAAUAGCGGAACCUGGAUGCCCAUAUUGGCUCCUACAUAUUCUAUGAAGAUCUUUAUCGGUCAAACCGCAUAACAACAUACGUUGUUCCCUUUGUCAUCGGUAUGUUACUUGCCCGAGAUUCGAUCGUCGGUAUCCCAAUACCUAGUUCAAUCUCGUUACCGGCAAGUCUCUUUACUCGUUACGUAAUGCAUCAUCCCGCAACUAACUUAUUAGUCACAUUGCUUGCAUGGCUUAUAGUGAUGUGCAUUACCGAGAGGGCCCAGAGAUACCUCUCCGACAAUCGGAGUGACAAAACCUAAUCUCAAAAUACGCCAACCCAACAUGUACCUUUGGAGACACCUGUAGUACUCCUUUAUAAUCACCCAGUUACGUUGUGACAUUUGGUAGCACCCAAAGUGUUCCUCCGGUAAACGGGAGUUGCAUAAUCUCAUAGUUACAGGAACAUGUAUAAGUCAUGAAGAAAGCAAUAGCAACAUACUAAACGAUCAAGUGCUAGGCUAACGGAAUGGGUCAAGUCAAUCACAUCAUUCUCCUAAUGAUGUGAUCCCAUUAAUCAAAUGACAACUCAUGUCUAUGGCUAGGAAACAUAACCAUCUUUGAUCAACGAGCUAGUCAAGUAGAGGCAUACUAGUGACACUCUGUUUGUCUAUGUAUUCACACAAGUAUUAUGUUUCCGGUUAAUACAAUUCUAGCAUGAAUAAUAAACAUUUAUCAGGAUAUAAGGAAAUAAAUAAUAACUUUAUUAUUGCCUCUAGGGCAUAUUUCCUUCAGUCUCCCACUUGCACUAGAGUCAAUAAUCUAGUUCACAUCAUCAUGUGAUUUAACACCAAUAUUCAUAUCUGUAUAUGAUUAACACCCAUAGUUCACAUCGUCAUGUGAUCAACACCCAAAGGGUUUACUAGAGUCAAUAGUCUAGUUCACAUUGCUAUGUGAUUAACACCCAAAGAGUACUAAGGUAUGAUCAUGUUUUGCUCGUGAGAGAAGUUUAGUCAACGGGUCUGUCACAUUCAGAGCCGUAUGUAUUUUGCAAAUAUUCUAUGUCUACAAUGCUCUGCACGGAGCUACUCUAGCUAAUUGCUUCCACUUUCAACAUGUAUCCAGAUUGAGACUUAGAGUCAUCUGGAAUGGUGUAAAAGCUUGCAUCGUUGUAACUUUUACAACGGGCUCUUUUAUCACCUCCAUAAUCGAGAAACAUCUCCUUAGUCCUCACUAAGGAUAUUCUUGACCCAUGUCCAGUGAUCUACUUAUUAGAUCAAAAUUGUAUUCCUUUGCCAAACACAGAGCAAGGUAUACAAUAGGUCUGGUUCACAGCAUAGCAUACUUUAUAGAACCUAUGACUGAGGCAUAGGGAAUGACUUUUCAUUCUCUUUCUAUUUUUCUGCAAUGGUCAGGUCUUGAGUCUUACUCAACUUCACACCUUGUAACACAGGCAAGAACUCCUUCUUUGACUAUUCCAUUUUGAACUAUUUCAAAAAUUUAUCAAGGUAUGUACUCAUUGAAAAAUCUUAUCAAACGUCUUGAUCUAUCUAUAUAGAUCUUGAUGCUCAAUGUGUAAGAAGCUUCACCGAGGUCUUGCUUUGAAAAACUCUUAUUCAAGUAUCCUUUCAUGCUAUCCAGAAUUUCCAUAUCAUUUCCAAUUAACAAUAUGUCAUCCACAUAUAAUAUUAGAAAUGCUACAGAGCUCCCACUCACUUUCUUGUAAAUACAGGCUUCUUCAAAAGUCUGUAUAAAACCAUAUGCUUUGAUCAACUCAUCAAAGCGUAUAUUCCAACUCCGAGAUGCUUGCACCAGUCCAUUGAUGGAUUGCUGGAGCUUGCACACUUUGUUAGCAUCUUUAGGAUUGACAAAAACUUUCUGGUUGCAUCAUAUACAACUCUUCUUUAAUAAAUCCAUUAAGGAAUGCAGUUUUGACAUCCAUUUGCCAGAUUUCAUAAAAUGUGGCAAUUGCUAACAUGAUUCAGACAGACUUAAGCUUCGAUACGAGUGAGAAAAUCUUAUCGUAUUCAACACCUUGAACUUGUUGAAAACAUUUCGCAACAAGUCGAGCUUAGUAAUAGUAACACUACUAUCAAUGUCCGUCUUCCUCUUGAAGAUCCAUUUAUUUAACAUGGCUUGCUGAUCAUCGAGCAAGUCAAUCAAAGUCCAUACUUUGUUCUCAUACAUGGAUCAUAUCUCAGAUUUUAUGGCCUCAAGCCAUUUCGUGGAAUCUGGGCUCAUCAUCGCUUCCUCAUAGUUCGUAGGUUCAUCAUGGUCUAGUAACAUGACUUCCAGAACAGGAUUACCGUACCACUCUGGUGCGGAUCUUACUCUGGAAGACCUACGAGGUUCAGUAGUAACUUAAUCUGAAGUUUCAUGAUCAUCAUCAUUAACUUCCUCACUAAUUGGUGUAGUAGUCACAGGAACAGAUUUCUGUGAUGAACUACUUUCUAAUAAGGGAGCAGGUACAGUUACCUCAUCAAGUUCUACUUUCCUCCCACUCACUUCUUUCGAGAGAAACUCCUUCUCUAGAAAGGAUCUAUUCUUAGCAAUGAAUAACUUGCCUUCCGAUCUGUGAUAGAAGGUGUACCCAAUAGUUAACUUUGGGUAUUCUAUGAAGACGCACUUCUCCGAUUUGGGUUUGAGCUUAUCAGGUUGAAACUUUUUUCAUAUAAGCAUCGCAACUCCAAACUUUAAGAAACGACAGCUUAGGUUUACUGCUAAACCAUAGUUCAUACGGUGUCGUCUCAACGGAUUUAGAUGGUGCCCUUUUAAACGUGAAUGCAGCUGUCUCUAAUGCACAACCCCAAAAUGAUAGUGGUAAAACCGAUAAGAGACAUCAUAGAUCGCACCAUAUCCAAUAAAGUGCGGUUACGACGUUCGGACACACCAUAACGUUGUGGUGUUCCAGGUGGUGUGAGCUGUGAAACUAUUCCACAUUGUUUUAACUGAAGACCAAACUCGUAACUCAAAUAUUCGUCUCCGCGAUCAGAUCGUAGAAACUUUAUUUUCUUGUUACGAUGAUUUUUCCACUUCACUCUGAAAUUCUUUGAACCUUUCAAUUAUUUCAGACUUAUGUUUCAUCAAGUAGAUAUACCCAUAUCUGCUCAAAUCAUUUUGUGAAGGUCAGAAAAUAACGAUACUUGCCACGAGCAUCAACACUCAUUGGAUCGCAUACAUUAGUAUGUAUUAUUUCCAAUAAGUUAGUAGCUUGUUCCAUUGUUCCGGAGAACGGAGUUUUUAGUCAUCUUGCCCAAAAGGCACGGUUCGCAAGCAUCAAAUGAUUCAUAACCAAGUGAUUCCGAAAAUCCAUCUUUAUGGAGUUUCUUCAUGCGUUUUACACCGAUAUGACCCAAACGGCAGUGCCACAAAUAAGUUGCACUAUCAUUAUCAACUUUGCAUCUUUUGGCAUCAAUAUUAUGAAUAUGUGUAUCACUAGGACCGAGAUCCAACAAACUAUUUUCAUUGGGUGUAUGACCAUCAAAGGUUUUAUUCAUUUAAACAGAACAACAAUUAUUCUCUGAUUUUAAAUGAAUAACCGUAUUGCAAUAAACAUGAUCAAAUCAUAUUCAUGCUCAACGCAAACACCAAAUAACAUUUAUUUAGGUUCAACACUAAUCUCGAAAGUAUAGGGAGUGUGCGAUGAUGAUCAUAUCAAUCUUGGAACCACUUCCAACAUACAUCGUCACUUCACCCUCAACUAGUUUCUGUUUAUUCUGUAACUCCUGUUUCGAGUUACUAAUCUUAGCAACCGAACAAGUAUCAAAUACUCAGGGGUUACUAUAAACACUAGUAAGGUACACAUCAAUAACAUGUAUAUCAAAUAUACCCUUGUUCACUUUGCCAUCCUUCUUAUCCACCAAAUAUUCAAGGCAUUUCCGCUUCUAGUGACCAUUUCCUUUGCAGUGUAAGCACUCAGUUUCAGGCUUUGGUUUAGCUUUGGGCUUCUUCAUGGGAGUGACAACUUGCUUGUCAUUCUACUUGAAGUUCCCCUUUCUUUCCCUUUGCCCUUUUUCUCGAAACUAGUGAUCUUGUCAACCAUCAACACUUGAUGCUCUUUCUUGAUUUCUAACUUCGUUGAUUUCAACAUCACGAAGUGCUCGGGAAUCAUUUUUGUCAUCCCUUGCAUACUAUAGUUCAUCACAAAGUUCUACUAACUUGGUGAUGGUGACUAGAGAAUUCUGUCAAUCACUAUCUUAUUUGGAAGAUUAACUCCCACUUGAUUCAAGCGAUUGAAGUACCCAGACAAUCUGAGCACAUGCUCACUAGUUGAGCGAUUCUCCUCCAUCUUUUAGCUAUAGAACUUGUUGGAGACUUCAUAUCUCUCAACUCGGGUAUUUGCUGGAAAUAUUAACUUCAACUCUUGGAACAUCUCAUAUGGUCCAUGACAUUCAAAACGUCUUUGAAGUCCCAAUUCUAAGCCGUUAAGCAUGGUGCACUAAACUAUCAAGUAGUCAUCAUAUUGAGCUAGCCAAACGUUCAUAACGUCUGCAUCUGCUCCUGCAAUAGGUCUGUCACCUAGCGGUGCAUUAAGGACAUAAUUCUUCUCUAACAUCUUUGCAGCAAUGAGGAUAAACCUCAGAUCACGGAUCCAAUCCGCAUCAUUGCUACUAACAUCUUUCAACACAAUUUUUCUCUAGGAACAUAUCAAAAUAAACAUAUGAAAGCAACAACGCAAGCUAUUGAUCUACAACAUAAUUUGCAAAAUACUACCAGGACUAAGUUCAUGAUAAAUUUAAGUUCAAUUAAUCAUAUUACUUAAGAACUCCCACUUAGACAGACAUCUCUCUAGUCAUCUAAGUGAUCACGUGAUCCAAAUCAACUAAACCAUGUCCGAUCAUCACGUGAGAUGGAGUAGUUUCAAUGGUGAACAUCAUUAUGUUGAUCAUAUCUACUAUAUGAUUCACGCUCAACCUUUCGGUCUCCGUGUUCCGAGGCCAUAUCUGUAUAUGCUAGGCUCGUCAAGUUUAACCCGAGUAUUCCGCGUGUGCAACUGUUUUGCACCCGUUGUAUUUGAACGUAGAGCCUAUCACACCCGAUCAUCACGUGGUGUCUCAGCACGAAGAACUUUCGCAAUGGUGCAUACUCAGGGAGAAAACUUCUUGAUAAUUAGUGAGAGAUCAUCUUAAAAUGCUACCGUCAAUCAAAGCAAGAUAAGAUGCAUAAAGGAUAAACAUCACAUGCAAUCAAUAUAAGUGAUAUGAUAUGGCCAUCAUCAUCUUGUGCUUGUGAUCUCCAUCUUCGAAGCACUGUCGUGAUCACCAUCGUCACCAGCGCGACACCUUGAUCUCCAUCGUAGCAUCGUUGUCGUUAUGCCAUCUAUUGCUUCUACGACUAUCGCUACCGCUUAGUGAUAAAGUAAAGCAAUUACAGGGAGUUUGCAUUUCAUACAAUAAAGCGACAACCAUAUGGCUCCUGCCAGUUGCCGAUAACUUCGGUUACAAAACAUGAUCAUCUCAUACAAUAAAAUAUAGCAUCACGUCUUGACCAUAUCACAUCACAACAUGCCCUGCAAAAACAAGUUAGACGUCCUCUACUUUGUUGUUGCAAAUUUUACGUGGCUGCUACGGGCUUAGCAAGAACCGUUCUUACGUACGCAUCAAAACCACAACGAUAGUUCGUCAAGUUAGUGUUGUUUUAACCUUCGCAAGGACCGGGCGUAGCCACACUCGAUUCAGCUAAAUGAGAGAGACAGACACCCGCCAGCCACCUUUAAGCACGAGUGCUCGUAACGGUGAAACCAGUCUCGCGUAAGCGUACGCGUAAUGCCGGUCCGGGCCGCUUCAUCUCACAAUACCGCCGAACCAAAGUAUGACAUACUGGUAUGCAGUAUGACUUGUAUCGCCCACAACUCACUUGUGUUCUACUCGUGCAUAUAACAUCAACGCAUAAAACCUAGGCUCUGAUACCACUAUUAGGGAACGUAGUAAUUUCAAAAAAAUUCCUACGUACACGCAAGAUCAUGGUGAUGGCAUAGCAACGAGAGGGGAGAGUGUUGUCCACGUACCCUCGUAGACCGUAAUCGGAAGCGUUAUGAUAACGCGGUUGAUGUAGUCGUACGUCUUCACGAUUCGACCGAUCCAAGUACCGAACGUACGGCACCUCCGAGUUCAGCACACGUUCAGCUCGAUGACGAUCCCCGGGUUCCGAUCCAGCAAAGCUUCGGGGAUGAGUUCCGUCAGCACGACGGCGUGGUGACGAUAAUGAUGCUCUACCGGCGCAGGGCUUCGCCUAAACUCCGCGACGAUAUAACCGAGGUGGAAUAUGGUGGAGGGGGGCACCGCACACGGCUAAGGAACGAUCCGUAGAUCAACUUGUGUUGUUGUGCCUCGAGGUGCCCCCCUGCCCCCGUAUAUAAAGGAGCAAGGGGGGAGGAGGCCGGCCCUAGGAGGGGGCGCGCCAAGGGGAGUCCUACUCCCAUCGGGAGUAGGACUCCCUCCUUCCUUGUUGGAGUAGGAGAAGGGGGAAAGAGGGGGAGAGGAGGAAGGAAAAGGGGGCCGCACCCCUUGUCCAAUUCGGACCAGAGGGGGGCUGCGCGCCUCCUUCCUUUCGGCCUCUUUCCUCUAUUCCCGUAUGGCCCAAUAAGGCCCAUAUACUCCUCGGCGAAUUCCCAUAACUCUCCGGUACUCCGAAAAAUACCCGAAUCACUCGGAACCUUUCCGAACUCCGAAUAUAGUCAUCCAAUAUAUCGAUCUUUACGUCUCGGCCAUUUCGAGACUCCUCGUCAUGUCCCUGAUCUCAUCCGGGACUCCGAACUCCUUCGGUACAUCAUAACUCAUAAACUCAUAAUAUAACUGUCAUCGAAACCUUAAGCGUGCGGACCCUACGGGUUCGAGAACUAUGUAGACAUGACCUAGAACUAUUCUCGGUCAAUAACCAAUAGCGGAACCUGGAUGCCCAUAUUGGCUCCUACAUAUUCUACGAAGAUCUUUAUCGGUCAAACCGCAUAACAACAUACGUUGUUCCCUUUGUCAUCGGUAUGUUACUUGCCCGAGAUUCGAUCGUCGGUAUCCCAAUACCUAGUUCAAUCUCGUUACCGGCAAGUCUCUUUACUCGUUAUGUAAUGCAUCAUCCCGCAACUAACUUAUUAGUCACAUUGCUUGCAUGGCUUAUAGUGAUGUGCAUUACCGAGAGGGCCCAGAGAUACCUCUCCGAUAAUCGGAGUGACAAAACCUAAUCUCAAAAUACGCCAACCCAACAUGUACCUUUGGAGACACCUGUAGUACUCCUUUAUAAUCACCCAGUUACGUUGUGACGUUUGGUAGCACCCAAAGUGUUCCUCCGGUAAACGGGAGUUGCAUAAUCUCAUAGUUACAGGAACAUGUAUAAGUCAUGAAGAAAGCAAUAGCAACAUACUAAACGAUCAAGUGCUAGGCUAACAGAAUGGGUCAAGUCAAUCACAUCAUUCUCCUAAUGAUGUGAUCCCAUUAAUCAAAUGACAACUCAUGUCUAUGGCUAGAAAACAUAACCAUCUUUGAUCAACAAGCUAGUCAAGUAGAGGCAUACUAGUGACACUCUGUUUGUCUAUGUAUUCACACAAGUAUUAUGUUUCCGGUUAAUACUAUUCUAGCAUGAAUAAUAAACAUUUAUCAUGAUAUAAGGAAAUAAAUAAUAACUUUAUUAUUGCCUCUAGGGCAUAUUUCCUUCAUGACCACCUUACCGAGUUGCUACAAGAUCGUGUAUUUGAAGUAGGACAAAUCGAUCCCACUCUUCUUACUAAGAAGGUCAAAGGGGAGUUGUUUGUAUGCCAACUAUAUGUUGAUGAUAUUAUCUUUGGUUCUCCUAACAAAGCUUUCAAUGAGGAAUUUGCCGCUCUCAUGACCUCCAAGUUCAAGAUGUCUUCGAUGGGAGAGUUGAAGUUCUUCCUUGGUUUUGACAUCAAACAAAGAAGAGAAGGAACCUUCAUCAACCAAGCCAAAUACACUCAAGACAUGCUUAAGAGAUUCAAGCUAAGUGAUGUCAAGCCGGCUACUACUCCAAUGCCCAACAAGUGCCAACUUGACAUCGAUCCCAAUGGUAAAGCGGUGGAUCAAAAGGUAUAUCGCUCCAUGAUUGGCUCCUUGCUUUACCUUUGUGCAUCUAGACCGGAUAUCAUGUUGAGUGUGGGGAUGUGUGCAUGUUUUCAUGCCACACCAAAGGAAAGUCACUAUGUGGCGGUCAAGCGAAUCUUUCAAUAUUUGGCUCAUACCCCAAACUUUGGCUUAUGGUACCCAAGAGGAGAAAACUUCAAGCUUGAAGGUUUCACAGAUUCUGAUUGGGCGGGAGACAAAGUGGAUAGGAAGUCCACUUCCGGAGGGUGCCAAUUUCUUGGUUGCUCUUUGGUAAGUUGGUCUUGCAAGAAGCAAAGUUGUGUGUCUCUCUCGUCUACCGAAGCGGAGUAUGUGGCGGCCGGUAGUUGGUGUGCACAACUCUUAUGGAUGAGGCAAACUUUAAAGGAAUAUGGUGUCAUUUGUGACAAAGUGCCUCUUUGGUGUGACAACGAAAGUGCCAUCAAGAUUUCUCUCAACCCGGUGCAACACUUCAAUAUGAAGCAUAUUGAGAUUCGGUAUCAUUUCAUCCGGGAUAACAUUAGGCGAGGGGAGAUCGAGCUCAAGUAUGUCAACACUCAUGAUAACCUUGCAGAUAUCUUCAUGAAGCCCUUGGAUGAAGCAAGAUUUCGCGAGUUAAGGCAUGAGCUAAAUAUCAUUGAUUCGAGCAAUGUGACUUGAACCCUUGCACCCCCCACCACACUCAUCUUGUUGUCUAGUUUAGAUGUAGGCAUGGACAUAGGGGGGUGUUGUUCUCUCAAUGAACUCUCCCUCCCCCCAUUAUGCAUAAAACGAUCAACUCUUUCACAUUAGCCAUUUUUGAUGGUACUUGUGCUUCAAAGACGAGUCUUGGUCAUGGGCCCAAGGAUAAUUCUUCGCGGUGCCAUACCAAUUGACUCAAACAUAGGUGGCUCCGGCCACCGCCCUCUCUUGGGAGGGGCCAGAGCUCGCUCUUCUUUCGUGUGGUUGUUUUGAAGGAGUGGGUUCCGGAUCUUUGUUAGUGUGUGUGUUGUCUUGUUGGUCUUUUAUUUUCUUGACCUUGCUUUCCCGUUCUUUUCGUUGUGCUUGUGUUUUCGUCUAGAGGCAUUUUUUGGUUGCUGGCGGUACUACCGCUGCUGGCGAGCGGUACUACCGCUCCAAGCGGUACUACCGCCCUCCAGCGCGGUACUACCGCUGUGAGGCGCGGGCAGGGGGUUAUAUUGGGGCAGGGGGAGUUUUCUUCUCCCCCAUACCCAUUCGCUCGCCCCCUCAUUCAGUUCCUCUCUCUCCAGUAACCGGCGCCGUGGGAGGGCUCCGGCGGAUCUCCCUCUCCGGGGCGUCCCUCUCCAUUUCCUUCGGUGGAGACGAUCCCCACCUUGUCCUCUUGCCAUGGAUGCCGGUAUUGCCCCCGUUCCCUGUUUCUUUUUGUCUAGAUUUCCAAUCUAGCGUCUUAGGGGAAAUAGCAGUUGCAUCUCUAGAUUUUUGGCUAGAUCUAGGCUUGAGUAGGAUGGAGAAUGCUUCUAGACAUUGUGGAUUAGUGUUUGGUUGGAGUAUUUUUGAAUUUGGUAGGACGGUAGUACCGGAUCUGAUCACGGCAGUUGGAACCGGCUGAUUCCCGGCCUCGAGCUGUACUACCGCUCCCCGAGAGCGGUACUACCGCCUGGAGCGGUACUACCGCUCGGAGGUCGCGGUACUACCGCCCUCUACCACUUUCCACCAUAUUCCUACCUUUCAGUGAUCUUUUUGUUCGUGUUUUGUGGCUUAUGCUUGGUCUUUCUGGUUGUUUGCGUGUUCAUAUGUGUGGUUCCAGGUGAUGAGGUCCCUGAGCAUCAGGCUCGUCGUGUCAACCCCGGUCGUGCCACAUCCAAGCGCUACCGCACCACCGAGCCUGCCGGAGGUUCUUCAAGUGCUCCACCUCCACCUCAACUCCAGAACAAGCCUGGGGUCAAGCCAAAGCCAGGAAAAACCGUGCCAGACAUGCAGCCAAAGGAGUUCUGGGCAAGGCGCCGCCACAAGCCAUAUGAGGCUGACCAAGAUCCCACUUUGGUCAACUGUCCGUUCUGGAACAGGUUCCAGUUUGCCAUCUUCUUCGAUGUUCUCAAAGCCAAGAAGAACCUCUAUGUCAAUGUGCACUCCAUCGACACCGACCAUAUGGAGCAAGAUCCUGAAUACUUUGGUGAAGCUCUUCACAUGUGCACUCAACUGAACAUUCUUGGGAUCAUGAAAUUCAACAAGGACUAUGAUGCUGAUAUUGUGGCCCAAUUCUAUGCCACGGUUCACCUUGGGACUGAUGAGGAUAGGACACUGACCUGGAUGACCAAUGGCAAGUUGCUUUCAGUCAAGUGGAAAGCAUUCAUGGAGUUGGUUGGGGUGCAAGAUCUAGGUCUUGAGUCUUCUGUCGGCUUUCGCCCUCACGGCCGCCCCAAUGCCACUCACAAGCAAGCUCUCUGGCCCUACUGCACUUUGAAGAUCAACCAUGAGACAAAGAAGGAAACCUAUGAGCUGCCUGCCUAUCUGGAUAUUCUUCACCGCAUCUUCAGAGAGACUCUCUUCCCUCGUAUCGGGAAUCUGGACCAGGUUCACUCCUAUCUCGUGGGCAUGCUUCUUUUCUGCCAGCAUGAGAAGGGACAGCACACCGGAGAGUCCUUGGAUAUCUCUCAUGUUAUAUGGUCUGAGCUGCUAUCUGCUAUUUCCGAGCGCAAGUGCCCGAUUUAUGGUUCGUUCAUCAUGCUGCUCAUUGAGAAGGCCUGGGAUCAUGUCUACCCCAAGGUGCCACUGGAGACUGGAGAGUUGAUCUCUCACGAUGUCAAGCGUCUGAGGAAGAAGGAUAACUGGGGCACUCAGGCCCCUAGGACUGGAGUUCCUUCAUCUUCUACUGCCAUGGAGACCGAGGAGGAGACUGGAGCUGAUGAUGAUGAUGAUGAUGAUGACUACAUGCCUUCUGAGGCAGAGCUCUCCUAGGCAAAGAAGCUUAAGUCUAAGAUGAAGAAGUUGUUCUGCAUGGAGGCUCAUGGUCAGUACAUGACUCAUGUGGCUGAGAAGAAGGCUAGAGGUCGCCACAAGGAGCUCAUGCGUCAGUUGGGUGCUACAGUCAACAGUGGAUCUGAGGACCAGCUUACUGAGGAGGAGGAGUGGAUUCAGCAGCACUGCCCGUGGACCGAUUCUGAUGCAGAGCACUUCCAGACUGACGACGGUGGCGCAGAUGAUCCCGCUGGGCUCUGAUGUGUGUGUCCCUCGUUUGCUCUCACUUGGAGCCGUAGCAACACUCCCUCUCCUUUUUGGUGUCUCGAUGACAAAGGGGGAGAGAGUUUUAGGGAUUUGCGAUUUGUGUCUUUCGUCUUUGUGUUCGUGUUUUCCUCGUAUUUGCUUUGGUUGGUUUGUCUGUGAGACCUAAGUUUGAGUCAUAUGGUGUGAGACAUAUGCUACCUUAUCUUUCCAGUAUUAUUAAUCUAUGUCACUUAUCUAGCUUGAGUUGCUUGUUUAUCUUGUUAAAUCAUCUAUGCUGCUCUCAUAUACCUUGCUUAGAUUGUUGGUCUCUAAAAUGUAGGGGGAGCGUUGAUCCUAGUAUGUGUGCCGUGCAGUCCAAAGCACUUAUCUAGAUAGCACACAUCUAGGGGGAGCCCAUCUACAUUUUAGGACGGUGGGGUUUGUACGCUUACUCUAUAUCAUGCUUGUGCAAAUCCCGUAUUGUCAUCAGUCCACCAAAAAGGGGGAGAUUGUAAGGGCAUAUUUAUCCCCAAGUGGUUUUGGUGAUUGAUGACAAUGCUUUUGCGGACUAAUCGUGUGUGUUAAGUUCUUUCAGAGAUUCAUCCAUUGGCACGAGACGAUUUCCUCCCCUCGGUGUUUUAUUCAAGACAGUGUAGCUCCUUCGCUUCAUUGUUGGUGGACUAGUUUCGUAGGAGUCACCAUACUAUCAAGAGGGGAUCCGCUUUGGUAAGACUAGGGUGGAAUCAACACGUACACAUCCCUUUCACACCCAUCGUCUUCCUUUCGCACCUUUGGAGCUGCCCCCUUCUCUUCCGUACCUGCUUCGUCUUGUGCCAGCGGUAGUACCGCGGUCUACAGUGGUAGUACCGCCGAAGCCCUCCAGCGGUAGUACCGCUCCACGAAGCGGUAGUACCGCUCUCAGCGGUAGUACCGCUCCGCAGGGCGGUAGUACCGCUUGCGGGCUUCGGCCGUAGUACCGCAGCUGUUCCGCACUACUACCGCCUCGAUUCGAGACUGGUGUUUUCUUGUGUCGGGUUUUGCGGCACUAGAAGCGGUAGUACCGCUCCAAGCGGUAGUACCGCUCCUACUCCCGGGUAGUACCGCUCUGGGGCCAGUGGCCUGUCUUCCUCGCCAGCGCGGUAGUACCGCUGAGUAGGGAGCGAUAGUACCGCUCUCAGCGGUAGUACCGCUCUCAGCGGUAGUACCGCCCUGCCCCAGCGGUAGUACCGCUCUGUGCGGGGAUGUACAGUGAGGUAACGGUUGGAAUUGUUUCCCCACUAUAUAAAGGUGUCUUCUUCCUCCAAGUUGACUUACCUCUUUCCCCCAAAGCUCCAUUGUUGCUCCAAGCUCCAUUUUCACCCGAUCUCUCUCCCUAGCCAAUCAAACUUGUUGAUUUGCUCGGGAUUGGUUGAGAAGGCCCAGAUCUACACUUCCACCAAGAGAAAUUUGAUCCCGCUCACUUAUCCCGAGCGGAUCUUGUUACUCUUGGGUGUUGAGCACCCUAGACGGUUGAGGUCACCUCGAAGCCAUACUCCAUUGUGGUGAAGCUUCGUGGUGUUGUUGGGAGCCUCCAAUUGUUGUGGAGAUUGCCCCAACCUUGUUUGUAAAGGUUCGGUCACCGCCUUCAAGGGCACCAAUAGUGGAAUCACGGCAUCUUGCAUUGUGUGAGGGCGUGAGGAGAAUACGGUGGCCCUAGUGGCUUCUUGGGGAGCAUUGUGCCUCCACACCGCUCUAAUGGAGACAUACUUCCCCUUAAAAGGAAGGAACUCCGGUAACACAUCCUCGUCUCCACCGGCUCCACUCUUGGUUAUUUCGUGCAUUUACUUUUGCAAGCCUACUUGUUUUACAUCCUUUGCUUGCUUGUGUGCUAGUUGUUAUUGCAUCAUAUAGGUUGCUCACUUAGUUGCACAUCUAGACAACCUUUUUGUUGCAAAGUUUAAUUUGGUAAAGAAAAGCUUAAAAAUUGUUAGUUGCCUAUUCACCCCCCCCCCCUCUAGUCAACCAUAUCGAUCCUUUCAACCGUCCUGAAGACAGUCUUCUACUCUUUGAUGGUUACCGGAGACCGUUAUCACGCCUCUGGGGCCAGGCAUCUUCAUCUUGAGGUACACAUAACACGGUCGAGCCAUGAAGCUAGCAUAGGCAGGUCUGCCCAAAAUGGCAUGAUAGGCACUCUAGAAAUCCACAACCUCAAACAUCAACUUUUCCUUGCGGGAAUUCUUCUCAUCACCGAAAACCGUGUCAAGAGUGAUCUGGCCGAGUGAGUCGGCUUUCUUUCCUGGGAUGACUCCAUGGAAUCGCAUGUUGCUCUCACUGAGUUUGGACAUCGGAAUGCCCAUUCCUUUGAGGGCCUCAGUGUAUAGGAUAUUCAGACCACUGCCACCAUCCAUCAAAACCUUGGUCAGUCGGGUGCCCCCAACGACUUGGUCGACCACCAGCGCUUGCCGCCCAGGGGUAGCAACGUGUGGCGGGUGGUCGGACUGAUCGAAUGUAAUAGGAGUUUUUGACCAUUUCAAAUACUUUGGUGUUGCCGGAGCAACCAUGUUCACCUCUCUGUUAAUGACCUUCAGUCGACUUUUCCUCUCGAGAUCAGCAAAAAUCACCAAGGUGGGAUUGACAUUGGGGUAACCACCAUCAUCAUCUUUGUCUUCCUCCUUAUCGGACUCUUUGUCCUUUUCACUGGGUUGGCUUUCUCGAAAGCUCUGGAUUAGGAGUCUAUAUUGUUGAGUCGUAUGCUUGGGGAGAAUCAGGUUCCCCUCCUCAUCCUUCUUGGUGUGAAUAUGACACAGCAAAUCCAUCUCAUCAUUUCCUGCUUGGUCCUUCACUUUCUUAGGGAUCCAAGGCCCUUUGGGCUUCCCCUUGAACUUUCCUUGAUUCAACACUGCUGCCUCGGCAAGACCUGCUGCCUUAGCCUUUCGCUUCUGCUUCCGACUGGAAUUUCCUCCUCCGGUGUCCUGGGCAACUGGUCUAUUCUUACCACUCCGGAGUCGGUCUUCUUCUUAGCCAUUAGCGUACUUGGUGGCAAUCUCCAUCAUUCGAGUCAGGGACAUAUCUCCGGUCCGACCGAACUUCAGAUUGAGCUCUCUAUAGCGAACGCCCUCCUUAAAGGCACAGACUGCUUGAUGAUCUGACACAUUCUCCACUGUAUGGUACAGAGUGAUCCAUCUCUGGAUAUAAUCUCUCAAGGUUUCAUUCGGUUUUUGCACGCAAUGCUGCAACUCUAGUAGACUAGCAGGUCUUUUGCAGGUGCCCUCAAAUGUUCUGGUAAACACUCGGGCCAACUCAUCCCCAACUCGAAAUGCUCCGAGGGGCCAGCUGAUUCAGCCAGGCCCUGGCAGAACCUUCAAGCAUCAGAGGGAGGUGCUUCAUGGCCACCUCAUCGCUGCCACCACCAAUGUGCACAGCCACUUGGUAGUUUUCAAGCCAAGUGUCGGGCAUUGAUUCUCCUAUGAACUUACUGAUGCCAGUCGCCAAUCUGAAGUUAUGAGGGAUUUCAGCGGCUCUAAUGGCUCUUCCAAAACACUCUGGGCCGGAAAUGUGGACCCUACUUCCACUGGGCCUGUCUCUAUCCAGCCCUUCUAUGUAUGCUCUGUUUCGGUCGACCAAACCCUGCACAAGGACUGACCUUGCGUCGAAGCCAGGCUCUCUGGAGUCGACUGGAACUCUGCGGUCAUUUCCAUAUGGACGCCUAUCAUCAUACCAUCGGGGCGCGUAUGACCCGUCCCUCGGAAGGGGCGAAGGCGCUCGGCGGUGGUUGUCGCGGGCGUACUCACGAUCAUACUCUCCAUGAGCUCUUCCCAGGUGCCGAUCUUGGUGGUGAUCACGAUCUCCAUGCCGCAAAGGCGACCUAGGAUUGUGUGCCGAUUGAACGGUGCCUGUCCUUACCGAUCUGCUGUGGAUUCUGUUCUGCGACUGGGACACGGCGGAGUUCUGGUCUCCCGCUGCUCGGAGUAGCGCCCUGAUCUGUUAAGCCUCUUCCAGCCUCUGAAUGGGACGACUAAAUGGACUCUACGAUACGCGCAGCAGCUGCAAGAUUCUGAAUCGGUGUGUAGAAUACCUGAGUUUCUGGUGGAAACAACUAUCAUGGACGUCCACUAGACUCGGGGAUCAGUCGAUGGGCACGCUCAUCGAGAGAAUGUUGGUGAUUCUCCAAACGAGUGCGCUCAGCCAGCGUGGCCAGGUGCACUGCUUCCAAGGCACGAGCCUCGACGGUUUCCCCUAUGAUGGGGGUCUAGAGAGCCUCCACGUUGUGGCGGUGCAUCUCCUCCCUCUGCUGCGAGCUGAGGGGUUGGGGCUGAUACUCCUCAUGGCCGAAUGACGGGCCGUCGCCGCCACCAUUGCCAGCACUGCGACAAAAACCAGGUGGGCUGCGAUGGGAGUCGACCAUGAGGACUUCCACCGCGGGGUCACAACUCCCGCUCUCAAAAAAGGUGUCUGCGAAAUCAGUCGACGGGUCGACUAAACCGCAGAGAAAUGCCUCGGGCUCGAUCGCCAUGACUUGGGGGUGAACGCCUGAUGAGCCACCGCAUGCUUCACCCACCACUGGAGCCGCGAUCGACCAGACCGCUUGCGGCGGCGUCCAGCCGAGUGAGACGAUAGCACGAGGACCGACUGAUACGGGGUCGACGGCUGCCGAAGGAGGACACUGUAGGCACUCGCGCGGAAGUGCGGCGAACCACGGAUCAGGAGAGCCUCGACGUCGAGGGGGCCUCCUGGAGCCAGGCGGAGUCGUCGGCGACGAAAGUGAGCGCGCUGAGUCGGAACUCGUGGCCCAUGACCAAACCGCCGCCGAAAACCAUGUUGAUGAAGAUCGAAGAAAAUGCAACUUCGCCGGAAGUCGCUAAGACGCUUUGCCCCAAGGUAGGCGCCAACUGUCGUGGUACUAAGUCUAACAGUAAGAAUAGGGGGUACGUAUGAGGAGGCAAGGUCCUAGCUACGGCGAGAUUGUACGCAAGAGUUUAAGAGUUGGGGGCCCUCUCGAAGGAGGGUAAAAGCCCUACAUCUCGGUGCCCUGAGGCGGUCGACUGGAAUAUGGGAGUGUGUGUUACAGGGGGUGCAAACCCUUGUCCCAGAGGAGGGGGUGGCUUAUAUAGAGUGCGCCAGGACCCAGCUCCCCUCCAUUACAGGGGUUCAAUGUACAUAAAGAUAGGGCGUUACUGAUAACGCCAGCUAUAAAGUGUAUUUAAUGACCUUUAAGACUACGGAGUGAACGUCUGACCGUUGCCGUCCUAAGUGACUCCUGGUCUUCUGUAGGUCGAGUGGUUUCUCGUAUAGUCGAAUGGCUUCGUCUUGGUCGAGUGAUACCAGGAGGGAGGGGUACCCGAGUGAUAUGACUGGUCGAGUGGAUUGCACUCGACGACUUCAAUUGAUACUCUCUGUUGUCCCUUGAAUGUCUUUACUUCUAGGGUAGUGACCUUGGGUAGGGUGUAUAGGUCAGGCCUAUGACCCUACCCUAGGUCUAUGUCAUCAUCCGCGCCCCCUUGGGGUGCGCCGUUUGAGCUUGUGGCCCUCUCAUAGAUCUUCUGCCUCCUCCCGAAGCUUCUAGGGUCCCUUCUGGUCCAUAAAAAAUCACGCUAAAGUUUAUCGUGUUUGGACCCCGUUUGGUGUUAAUUUUCUAGAAAAAACAUGUAGAAAACAGGAACUGGCACUGGGCACUGAGUUAAUAGAUUAGUUCCCAAAAAUGAUAUAAAAUUGCAUAUAGCGCCUACAAGGUUGAUAAUAUAAUAGCAUGAAACAAUCAAAAAUUAUAGACACGUUGGGACGUAUCAGCCCACCACGCACACCACACACAUCCUUAUCUCUAGCACCGCUUUUAUCUCAUCCAGCGCCCGUCCUCUCGCUCGCGCAUCGCCUGCCACGUCUCUUGCUCACGUCGUCGGAUCCUAGCUCUUGCAAGCCCCACCACCAUCGAACUUCCCUCUCCUCCUAUUUCUUCCUCUCCAACGAAUCCCCACCCCCCUGUUUUGCCCUCAUAGCUCCAUGUGCCGGCCUCCGCUAGCUCCCCGACGCCCCCUCUCGCCUAGUGAUGAACCACGGACGGCGGAUGGUGGAGCUACUACCAGCCACACCAGGAGCUGCAAACGGCGGACAGAGGAGCUACAACUUGCCAGCCAGGAGGUACACCCAGAGGAUGGAGGAGCUAUCACCGGACACGUUGGGAGCUGCAACCGGCGGACAGAGGAGCUACAAGCUGGGAACUACGACUGACGUACACACGUGCUAGAACCAGCACACAUGGGUGCUGCCACCGAUGCGCGACCGUGUUGUAGCCAGGCAUCUCCAGUGCUGGAACCAGCAGGCCCCGUGCUGGAAUCGGUGCGCGGCCCCAUGCUGGAACCAGGACAUGGGAAUGCUGGAUCCAGCCAUCUCCGAUGCUGGAACAAACCAUCCCGCUACUGGAACCAGCGCGCCCUGUGCUGGAAUCGGUGUGCGACACCGUGCUGGAACCAUGCUAUCGGAAUGCUGAGUCCAACCAUCUCCGUUGAUGAACCAACCAUCACCGGUGCUGGAACCAGUCGACGACCGGAUGGUGCUACCACGUCGACAUGCUAUAUCGGCGACUUACUGUGAAAGCUUAAAUCGGUGGCCCGUUUUGCUGGGACCGGCAUCACAAUUUGCUACGUGGGGUAGAGCAAUGGCCGGCGACGACGACGCUACCACGGCUGAACGACGUUGCUGAAAAACUUUCUACAGUGGCCUGUUUUUGUUGUAAUUGACGCGGAAUUUGUUACCCGCGGCGUCGGCGAGCAUCGACAACAAGGCAUCGACCGUCUGUGACAAGGCAAGCCAGGGUAGGGCGAUUAGACAAGCUGUUGGCUGGCGUCUGCAUGCGGGAGGGCAUUCGUCAUGGAUUUUUUCAGAGAACGGAGUGAAAGUGGUGUGAAGGUGGGAAAGGAUAAGUGGGGAGAAGUGUUAGGCCUAGUUCAAUCUCAUGGAUGCAAGCGUAUGAGCAUAGUUUUCUGUUUAAACAAUAAUGUUGUGCAUGGUCGGGAUGUGACCUGCGCAUGCACGUAGUUGGAGGCUGCCCCUAACUCUUUCCGUUUUCCUCUCCCGGUCGUUGCCGUUCGCUUGUGAUCCAGUCGCUGGAUGAGGCGACAGAUACGAAUCAAGGCAGCCCGCCGGGAGGUAGUUCGCACUCGGAUGUAAUCCUAUUAAGCUAAGGAAUAACAUAAAAUAGAAGGUUGCGACGGUUGGCAGCGAAAACUCUCUCUCUCUCUUUCGAACACUCUCUCUCUCUAACAACAACAAGAAGCGGCUAGUAUUUCACGAAUCGAACAAUGCGUGGUCCGACCGGCUAAAAUUUCAGCCGGUCGACCGACGCCUAUCACUCACCUAGAGAGAUCCAACUCCGGAAAAUGCUCUGGCACGUACAUUCUCAAGAUCACUGCGUGCUUGUCGAAAGGUAACUUUCCGGACACAAACCCAAAGUCCCUUGAAAAAGACCAAACAUCCACACUGAUAUCAGCUUGACGCACGCAAACCUGCCCAUUUGAAGAGAGUCAAGUCAAAAUAUACAAGUGUACCCAAAACUAAAUGAAUAAACGUAUUCAUGUUUUUGCCUAAGCAAUACCCAUAACUAAAGAGCACUGAACCUGUUCAUGCUUUUGCCUAACUAAGCAAUUUCCACACCUCGUCACAUGUAGUACUGUCAAACCUAUUUAUUGCCACCCAUAUCCAUUUCUCACCUCCCACACCUUGCAGCAUUCACUCACUCACUCAACUCUCUCUCUCUCUCUCUCUCUCUCUCUCUCAGGCAACAGCAUGCACCCGGACACCUCCGUAGCUGCGGUGGUCUGUGCGGCUGCUGUGCUGCUCAUCAGCAAUGGCUACCUCUCCAUGGCCAUGGUGGAGGACAAGAUCACAGCACUGCCGGGGCAGCCACCGGUGAGCUUCGCGCAAUACUCCGGAUACGUGGAGGUGGACGCCGCGAGGAAGAGGUCGCUCUUCUACUACUUCGCUGAGGCAGAGCUAGAUCCGGCCACCAAGCCCCUCGUCCUCUGGCUAAAUGGAGGUAAAUUUAGUGGCUGCCACAAGCUUCCCACUGUUUCGUCUUAUUGCAUUAUUGGUAUUGGGGACAUCACAGGAGAAGGAACAGUGUGAAAAGGCCAGAGCCAGAGGGGAAAGGAAAUUAACAAAUGUUGAGAGAGAGAGAGAGAGAGAGAGAGAGAGAGAGAGUAGAUUUUCUGUGCAAAUGCGCCUACAGCAGACUUUUACUUGGAUCAUACAUUAAAAAGAUACUUUUCCUAAUUGGAUUCUUGAAAGAAGAUAUACGAAGUGUCCCAACUGUUGAUGGAAGGGGACUUUUUACCUUUAAAUUUUGAUGUCCUUGCAGUAAAAUGUGUUUUUUUAGGAGUAGGACUGACUGCAUAAUCUAAUGNNNNNNNNNNNNNNNNNNNNNNNNNNNNNNNNNNNNNNNNNNNNNNNNNNNNNNNNNNNNNNNNNNNNNNNNNNNNNNNNNNNNNNNNNNNNNNNNNNNNNNNNNNNNNNNNNNNNNNNNNNNNNNNNNNNNNNNNNNNNNNNNNNNNNNNNNNNNNNNNNNNNNNNNNNNNNNNNNNNNNNNNNNNNNNNNNNNNNNNNNNNNNNNNNNNNNNNNNNNNNNNNNNNNNNNNNNNNNNNNNNNNNNNNNNNNNNNNNNNNNNNNNNNNNNNNNNNNNNNNNNNNNNNNNNNNNNNNNNNNNNNNNNNNNNNNNNNNNNNNNNNNNNNNNNNNNNNNNNNNNNNNNNNNNCUGAUUUAUUACUACCAAGAUUCCUUUGUCUCUCUAUGAUAGGAUAGGAGUUCUGAUGAUGUCUAUGCAUGUGUGUUUUGUGUAGGACCCGGAUGUUCAUCUGUGGGGGUGGGAGCAUUCUCAGAGAAUGGGCCAUUCAGGCCCAGUGACAAUGCCCUUGUGAGCAAUGAGUAUAGCUGGAACAAAGGUGGGCAUUUUGUCUCUUGUAAAAGUUGCAUCCACAAAAGCAACCUCUAGGUGCCUUUGAUUGGUCCUCUUUUUGUUGGUCCUCUUUUCCUUGGUGCAAGAAAAUAGAAAGCUCACAGGAAUUUUUACCACAACUGAAUUUCUCUUCUUGGUCUGUUGGCUUGUUUCAGAGGCCAACAUGCUCUAUCUGGAGAGCCCUGCAGGGGUGGGCUUCUCCUACUCCACUGAUCCUUCAUUCUAUGGGGGUGUUGGUGACAGCAUGACAGGUGUGAUCUCCAUGCUUGAAAAGUUUUGUAUCAGUAUUAUUUUCUGUGUAGGAUUAACCUGCACGAUUAUUCCUUUUUGAGUGGUUUAAUUUUAUUUUUCCAUAAAAUUUUGAAGCCAGGGACAAUUUAAGGUUCUUGGAAGUCUGGUUUGCCAAGUUCCCACAGUACAAGGGCAGGGACUUGUACAUCGCAGGAGAGAGCUAUGCUGGUAAAGCCAUUCUGCUUCUUCACCUCGUUGUUCAAUUCUGAAUUCAUCCCUUGGUGUUCUAACUACAAUGAUGAUCAUUUUUAAGGCCACUAUGUUCCGCAACUAGCGCAGCGCAUGGUUGAAUUCGACGACAAGGAGAAGCUGUUCAAUCUGAAAGGCAUUGCUGUAAGUAUCCCAUUUACAAAGCUUACCAAAAAUAUGUUUACAAAAACUUGGUGAAUUUAUAGUGUACAUUGCUCUCUCUUUCCCUCAUUGAUCCAACAGUUGGGCAAUCCUGUCCUCGAAUUCUCAACUGACUUCAACUCAAGAGCCGAGUUCUUCUGGUCACACGGGCUGAUAUCGGACUCAACUUACAACAUCUUCACGACGGUUUGCAACUAUUCGCGGUAUGUGAGCGAGUAUUACCAAGGCUCCAUCAGCACGGUGUGCGACAGGGUGAUGAGCCAAGUGACGAGAGAGACGAGCAGAUUCGUGGACAAGUACGAUGUCACCCUGGACGUCUGCAUUUCUUCGGUGUUGAUGCAGUCCCAAGUGCUCACCCCAAGCCCAAAUGUAUCGUUCUUCAGCAUUAUCUCUGCUAAGGAGAUGUAUGUAACCCUGUCACUGACGGACAAUUUUUUGCAGUCUACCGAGCAAUUGAACAGGGCGCUCGACGUGUGCGUCGAGGACGAGACGAUGAACUACCUCAACCGAAAAGAUGUGCAAAAGGCAAUGCACGCUCAGCUCAACGGCGUGCCCAAGUGGACGGUCUGCAGCAGGUGUGGAUUUGCCCAUCUGUUAGAGCAUCUAUCUGUAUCUACUAGGAGUAUUAUAGUUGCAUUUCCUUCAGCAAGGUUGCGAUUUCACCGAGUGUUUUGCCCAAUCCAGUGUUCUUGAGUACAAACAGCUGGACCUACAGAUCCCGACCAUUAACAUCGUCGGCGCGCUCGUCAAGUCUGGCAUCCCAGUGCUAGUUUACAGGUAAAGAACUCGCCACAGCAAGCAUGUCAGUUUAGAACGUGGCCUGAUGGCUGUGCUCGUGGGUGUUUCUCCGCAGCGGUGAUCAGGACUCGGUGAUCCCCCUGACGGGCAGCAGGACGCUGGUGCACCGCCUGGCCAAGAGGCUCCGGCUGAACGCAACGGUGCCGUACCGGGUCUGGUUCCAAGGGAAGCAGGUGAGCUCCGGUCCAUCUCCAUCCUACAGUACAAUACUGGCCGUCGUUAUCGUCAGCUCAGCUCCACUCCUGUCAAGCUCAAGCCAUGGUGGGUGGUGAAACUGAAACUGAAGCGUUCUUCUCGUCUCAUCUUCUCCCGGACGUGCAGGUUGGUGGAUGGACGCAGGUGUUCGGCGACGCGCUGUCCUUCGCGACCAUCCGGGGCGCGUCGCACGAGGCGCCCUUCUCGCAGCCGGAGAGGUCCCUCGUGCUCUUCAGGGCGUUCCUCGCCAGCCGGCCGCUGCCGGAAUCGUUCGAGUGACCUGACCUCAACUCAAGAGACAGUUCGUGUUCUUGUACUACUAUCUAGGAGUAGUAGCUAAGAGUGCAUGCGUCAAUCACCUUUCAAGGUUGGAAAUCUAAUCAAAAAGGUCUUCGCAAGUGUAAUCAGUUACUCCCCCAUUUCACUAUUAUAAGAAGUUUUGAAUAUUUCGAUAUACAUUAAAUACAGACUGAAAUAAGUGAACAAACACUCUAAAACACGUCUACCUACAUUCAAUUCAAAUAAUAAUAAUUAAUCAUACAUCUUAUAACAGUGAACGGAGAGAAUAUAUCGCAAGGCGUGGAGGUGCACUGGAAAUGUAUGGGAAUUUCGAAAAUUUACUAAGUUGUUACCUUUGGUUUGUCGUACCGGGAAAAAAGUACCCCCGCUGUCCAAAAUUAAUCAUAUCUAGACAGAUGUAAGCUAAGUAAUUCGGGACGGAAGUAACAUAUGAAAAUGAAAUUGUAACGCGCAACUAAAAUUUACUAGGAGCAUGUUUUGCUGUGUACAAUCAAAUACGUACGUGUAGAUUCAUGUUGCCAAAAAAAACAUAUGCAAGGCAUGACUCUGACUAAGAUUAUCUACAAGGCACUCUUUUACCCAAAACAUGUUAUGUCAUUCGUGUUUGGACUAGAAAAUUUAUAGUCGUUCUUGCCGAAUUCUGAAACCUCCUCUAGAUCAGAUGACAUAUACGGACUACGACGCCUGCUCUGCUCCACCGUCUCCCCCACCGCCUGCACCCGCUGACGAUACAACCCCGUUUGACAUGUCUUUGCAGCCCGUCCACAUGGAGCAGGUCGAGCUACUCUGCUCUUAGGGCAUGUACAAUACAUAGCCUCAUGGUGAUGCCCUGUGUGCCAUGUAGUAUCGGAUGUCAGAAAAAGUAGGUUCGGAUAGGAAGCAGGAUCCUCUGCAAGAAGUGGUUGCUUGGAAAGAAAAUAUGUGGUCCGGUGUAAAAAGCUGAAAAUGUUGAAGUGAAGAGUAGGGAUGCAUAUGUAGUAAGGGUCUACUUCUUAUUAUAUAAUGAGGUCCACUAGUAGUACCUUGAGUUGGAGAGAAAAAAUCAAUAUAGAUGCCUGAAGCUACUUUUUUGUCAUGAGGCAUAUGUAUCCACUAUGCCAUCAUUGUAAAUCAUGGCUUGUGUGUUGCAGAUCAUGUCCAAGUUGCAUGGGCUAUGUGGGGAGCCCACUUUGUAUCUGGUGCUUCCGGAGGUGGGCUCACUUGUGGCCUUAGCGGUGGCCACGACGCCCUCUCGACCACCACUAGAGCAUCUCUAGCGGACCCCUUAUAUCGCGGACCCUUUACAGUUCACGGAAAACAUGUUUUGCAUGCUGGCGCAGGCUGCGGCUGAAUAGGCCCUGCAUAGCGGAACUGUAAAAGAGAAUAAUAUUCUGUUUUACAGUUCCGAUUAUUCUCUUUUACAGUUCCGCUAUGCGGGGCUGUUCGGCCGCUGCCCGCGCCAGUCCCAAAACACGUUUUUUUUUUUUUGAAUUUGACACAUAUCUCAUAUAUUACAAAGAAUUAUGAAUUCAGUAUAACAUAAAAUGUGAAUAUUAUGCAUCCAAAUUACAAUAAUUAUUCAAAUCACCGAAUUAAACUAAUAAUUCAAUACAACAGUUAUCCUGAAUACAACAAUGAUAACGAUCACACAUUAAUCAAAUGAAAUGAAUGUAAAAUUGGCCGGUGCUUUUGCCAAUGGUGCUCAAUGCCUUUGCCAAUGGUGCUCAAUGAGAUCCUCCUCAAGCUGAUGGUGGGUGUUUGCGUCUUCAAUCUGCCGGUAUGUCUAAAGGAAUGCUUGUAUGCGGUCAGGGUCUCUAGCUAGCUUCACGCGGCUACCAACAUUGUCAUAGAAGAACUCCAAGUUCAUGUCCCUCUCAUCUUCGAUGAUCAUGUUGUGAAGAAUCACACAACAUGUCAUGAUGUUGUUAGGGGUUUGCUUGUCCCAAAAACGAGCAGGACCACGAACAAUGGCAAAUCUAGAUUGCAAAACCCCAAAGGCUCUUUCAAUCUCUUUUCGGGCAGCCUCUUGUACCUUUGCAAAUUCAAUAUGCUUCCUAGUUUUGGACUUUUUAUGCUCUUGAUAAAUGUAUACCAAGAAGGAUAGAUACCAUCUACAAGAUAGUACCUCUUUGUGUGUUCAUGUCCAUUCACCAUGAAGUUGCAAGCAGGAGCAUCACCACUGGCAAGUCUAGCAAACAAAUGAGACCGUUGCAACACAUUGAUAUAAUUGAGAGUACCCGGCAUAUACCAAAAAAAAUGUUAAAUCCAUAAAUCCUCGGAUGCUACGGCCUCUAGCACAAUUGUUGCAUCACGAGACUUGCCACAAUAUUGCCCGUGCCAUGCCUUCGAGCAGUUUUUCCAAGUCAAAUGCAUGCAAUCAACGCUUCCAAGCAUAUUGGGCCAACCUCGCUUCUCAUUUGCUGCCAUCAACUUUUAGUGUCUUCCUCGUUGAGUGCACGAAGAUAGACAGGACCAGAGACGCGGGUGAUCAUUUUGGCAAACCUACGCACUGACUCAAUUGUAGUAUCUUUGCCAAUGCGAAGAUACUCGUCAGCAUAAUCAGCCGGAAUGCCAUAUGCAAUCACUCGCAUAGCUACCGAGAUUUUUUGAUAUGCGCUAAAACCCAACAAGCCCGCGGCGUUUCUCCUUUGAGUAAAAGACCGAGAAUUGGCCUCGCAAGAUUGCACUAUUUUUACGAAGAGGGAUCGGCGCAUUAGAUACCUUCUCCGGAAGAGGUGCGGCGGAUAGGUAGGAUUGUACGCGAAGUAGUCUUGCAUCAACAUCGUGUUUCCGAGGUGGUGGUCACGAGGGAUGCAAAGACGACCGACGGUCGAUCCUCGCCGUCUCUUGCGGUUCCGAUCCUCGGCCUCCUUCAUGGCUAGGACCGGCCCCACCAUCUGUUGCCGAUGGCGCUCGAGCAUCGACUCUAUGCCCGAGUCAUCGGACGAGGACGAAUCCUCGAGCAAAAAUUGCUCGCAAGGGCUCAAAUCCAUCUACAAAACCGCGACCGAGUUUGCGUCAACGAAAUUUCAUCACCGGUGGCCGAUCUACAAGGGACAAAAAAGGGGCUCACCGGCUUCGGUCGGUCCGGGGCGGCGGCAACCCGGGGGCGGCUCGGCGAAUCCGGGGCGGGCAACGACUCGAUGGCGGUCGAUCCGGGGUGGUGGCGACCCGGGGCGCCGGCGAGUGGACCAGGGUGUAGUGCGGCCCGGCGGCGUGAUUCCGUCGGUGGAAAUGGCCAGAAUCGCAAGCUGCGGGCGGGCGGCGACGGUGGCGGGCGGCUGCGGGAGAGGAUGUGGGGAACGCACAUGCUGAAAUGUCCCUCCCGCCAACCGCUUUUGCAGGAUACAAGGCACCGACGGGGCAGGGGGGGCUGGGUUUUCGCGGGUCGGAGAGGGCAAUUUAUCGUGCCCCUCAAAAAAAUUUAAGGGUCGUGCGCGUUUAUGGUGUCUGUUCGGGUCAUUUUUUCAUGCCAAACUGUAACUGACGAUUAUUUUAUGUGUCGGGGUGAUAUAAGUGGUCUGCUAGAGAUGCUUCGAUGAAUCAUUGAGGUUUGGCUACUACUGCCUUUCACUCUCCCGUGAACAUCAGGCUAGUGGUGCAUGUGAGUGAUGAGAUUGUCGCGUCUGGUGCGUUGGCACCUAAUUUCAAGUUUCCAGUUCGUAGACAUGCCAGGACAUGUCUGUGGACAUUUGAUGAUGUUCAUUUGGUGAUUAGCUUUUGAGAUGCCCUAAAAUAUCGACAUGCUAAGAGAUGCUCUACAGUAUUAGCAACGAGCUCAUAUUACUUCAUCCGGAAAACCUCUCAUAGUAAUAGUUUACCUUUCACCAUGAAAUUGGCAACAAGUUUAUAUUACUCCCUCCGUUCCUAAAUAUAAGCCUUUGUAGAGAUUUCACUAUGGACUAUAUACGGAGCAAAAUGAGUGAAUCUACACUUUAAAAUGCAUCUACAUACAUCCAUAUGUGGUUCAUAGUGAAAUCUCUCCACAGACUUAUAUUUAGGAACAAAGGAAGUACUUCAUAAGAAAAAACUCAUAAUAUUACUUUACCCAUUACCAAAAGAAAAACAAGCCACACAAAAUCGUACACGCGUAGAUUUACUAUUACUAUGACUGCGAUGGUAUCUUAGGCCGUGUGGUCUCUAGGUGACUGGCCGGCUGGCUAGGGUGGAGAUCGUCAAGAUGGGUCGGUAUCAUCACAUGAUGGCGCAGGAGUUGACGUCCUCGUCGUUGAACAUGUUCAUGUACCGGACCUCCGGCGCCCCGGGGUCGGCCAUGGCCUGCGGCGCGCCGCGGACGAAGCCCGCCGGCGCCUUCUUGUCGUAGGCGCCGCCGACGUAGGGAUAGGUGGUGAGCGAGUACGGCACGUAGGGCCACAUCUCGGCCACCUUCCCGGUGCUCUUCACCCGCGCCAGCACCUUGCUCGGCUCCACGAACCCCGUCACCGUCACCUUGCUCAUCUUGGGGUUCACUGACACGGCCGUCACACCUUUGGCAUCAACAUGUACAGAAUAUGAAACGUUCAUCAGCAGAAUUUAACUUCACAAAACUAUUCGCAACGAAAACUUUAGAUUGCUUGAUGUUGUUUCAUUUCUGGAUAUCGCUACGUAUGUAGGAGUAUGUAUGUGUGUACCCCGAAUCGACUUGACGGCGUUCUUGACCCUCCUCUCGCAGCCCUCGCAGUCCAUCUUCACCUUGAUGUUUACCGUCUGCGGAUCACAAACUACUCGAGUUAAUCACGUGUAUAUAUAAAACAACGAAAUGGCNNNNNNNNNNNNNNNNNNNNNNNNNNNNNNNNNNNNNNNNNNNNNNNNNNNNNNNNNNNNNNNNNNNNNNNNNNNNNNNNNNNNNNNNNNNNNNNNNNNNNNNNNNNNNNNNNNNNNNNNNNNNNNNNNNNNNNNNNNNNNNNNNNNNNNNNNNNNNNNNNNNNNNNNNNNNNNNNNNNNNNNNNNNNNNNNNNNNNNNNNNNNNNNNNNNNNNNNNNNNNNNNNNNNNNNNNNNNNNNUUGAAACUGUUUCCAAGCAAAACAAGAGAGCACACGCGUACUAAAAAAAAAUGAAUUCCACAAGCCUCACCUGCAUCGGCCGCCUCUUCCUGAGCUUGAGGGCUGCCUUUGUGUCUGUCAUGCUGCACAAAUCGGAGAGGUGAUCCAAGACGCCCAUGAUCUUAUUGAUCUGACACGACUGAAGCAGUAGUGUUCUCGGGUACAGAACCGUGAAGGGUCGUAUAUGUAGAGACGAAAGAGGAAGGAACAAGAAAAUAUCAGAGGAUAAAUUUAAAUUUGUAUGGUUAGGGUGGACGUGCAAGUCCAUAUUGAUGCUUCUAGGCUGCAGAGAGCGAGCGAUUAAACCACGGCGCUUUCGGAUUAAAUGAGCAAACACCCCUGCUUCCAGGAUGACCAUUCCCUGCUUCACAGGCCAGCUGUUUUGACAGGAAGCUGCUUCAUUAUUAUUUCUUGUUUGUCGUUUCACGGAGAUGAUUUGUUUUGGUAGACUGGGAAAUGCACGGCGUCAAUUAGCUCUCUACUCGCUACCUAAACAAAACAGUACUACCUCUAUCUAGAAGAAUUAAAUAUGUGUUAUAUGUCAUGAAAAUUAUAUCACUAGAUUUCUACACGGAUGUAGUUUCUAAAAUAUAUAUAUUUUUAUCACAUAUAAUACAUAAUUAAAUAAUUAAAUCGCCGACCUAGACUUAUUCACCGAGACGGAGAUAGUACAAAGCAAGUAACUGCAGGUAGAUGAAGCCUUCGACUGUUCUUCAGAAACAGAGCAACUACUCUCUCAAAAAGAAAAGAAAAAACUCAAAAGAUAUACUGGCAUACAGCUUGCUCGUACAUGCAUCUAUGUUUGUUUCGUUUACAUAACAAUUUCUAGUGCCUCGCUUCAAACUUCGAACUUCAAGAGAGUGAAAGAAGAGAGAGACAAAAAAAGAAGAGGAGAACACAUAACUGAAAGGGCAGUGAUAUUAAUCUAGGUACCAUCACCAGGACACCAAGCUGAGAUAACGAAAUAAGAAGAUGGUGUACCCAACUAG
rnacentral:lncRNA from 1 species